UUUUUUUUUUUGUGUGUGUGUGAUAAGGAUAUUUUUAUUAUAAAAAAAUAAUUUUCUGCUUCUACUUGUGCUUUUUUUGAAAAACAGAGAUUUUCUGCUUCUUUCCGGAAGCAGAAAAAUUGCUUCUGCUUAUUUUUAAAAGAACUUUUGCAAGUUUACCAAACACCCCUAUUUUUUAAAAAAAAGUAUUUUUUUCUCAAAAUAAAUGUUUCUUUAGGAAAUAAGCAAUCCCAAACAGGCACUAAGACUUAUCAGAAAAUAAUUUUUUUCUUCUAAAAUUUUACUUGCUGACGAUGAAGACAAGACGAACAAUUUCGCAAAGAUUAAAGUGGUGGUAUGUAUUUAAGGUUUGAUUAUAUUAUAGUAAUACUUUAUAUUCUUUAUUUUUGUUGUCUUUUUUAUUUUUAUUCUAUCACUAUUUUGUGUAUGCAUAUGUCAUGUACUUACAUUUCAUUAAGGUUAGCAAAAGUUUUCGUUUUCACCCCAAAUUAUACAAAAAAAUCGAAUCCGCACCUAAAUUAUAUAAGUGACCUAUUACACACCUAAAAUAUAAAAAAAUGAAAUUUUUUACACCCUAAAUUUGACGUGGAAAAAAUAUAAUUAUUUAAAUAAAAAAUAGCGCGUCUAAGUUAAAAAAUAACAAAAAAAAAAUUAAAAUAUUUCCCACCCAACCGCAUCAUCCAUCAUCAUCUUCUUCUUCUUCUUCUCCAAAUUAAAAAAUUCCCAAACUGAAAAUUCCAAUUCCAAUUCCAAGUUGCUAAUGCGUUUUGAAUGAUUAACAAUGGCUGAAAUUUCUUCUCCUUCUUCUUCCCCAAUUCAAUUCAACCAUCGAAUCUAAUUAUCGGCCUCAAAUUUAACUGUCUAAUCACUCAAAUACUUAACCCUCAAAUAAAACUCAACUGAACAAUACUCACAUUGUCCAUCACUAUCACAAGCAUCACAAUUACGCGAAAAUCUCAUACUCAUAGCACGUUCACUCGAAUAAACUCGUCAUUUAAGAUGGAAGAAUUCACUUCAAUUUCUACGAGGCCAAUUGCUAUGGUUGGGACUUCGGCUAUCAUUAUACGACAAAGUACGUUAGCUAUGCUGGAAUCUGUGUCUCGGAGCUCGAAUUUCAUGAAGUCGGGUUUGAGACAUUGUCCAUUGUUGUUGUUGUUUGAGGAAUGAGGUUGUUGUUGGUGUUUUGACGGUUUUAGUUUUGGAGAAAUUAUAGUACUACUGAGGUAGUGAGGUUUUGUAUUGUGUGGAUAGUGUGUAGAGUUUAGGUGUGCGCGGUGGUGUAUCAAGCAAUCGCCACCGAAGCUGCAUCACUGGCGAUGAAAUUGACGCAAUUUCAGUGCCGCACCUUGUCUGCUAAACAAGGUAAAUAUCAAGUUAGACAAAAAAGGAUAAAACUUUUCUGCACAUAUAAUUGGAUUCCACUGUGCAGAAAAGUGUAUCUAUAAUUGGACAUUGAAGAAAAAGAAAAAAAAUUAAGCUCAUAACAAUGAAGGUUUUGAAUAUUGAAGAAAAAGAUAAAAAAUUGAACUCAUAACAAUGGAGGUUUUGGACAAUAAUGGAAGUUUUGGAUAUUGAAGAAGAAAGAAAAAGAAUUUAAAUUAAAAAGAAAAAAGAAAAAUUUAUGAAAAUAAUAAAAAAAAUUUGUAUCAUGCCGACGUAGCAGGCGCGUGUGCAACACUCCACCACAUGCAAGUGGUAUAAUGCUUUACAGGGUGUAAAAAAUUUCACUUUUUUAUAGUUUAGGUGUGUAAUAGGUCACUUAUAUAGUUUAAGUCUGAAUUCGACUUUUCAUGUAUAGUUUGGGGUGGAAACAAUGUCUUUUCCCUUUCUUUAUCUACAUUAUUCUUUUGUUUUGUGAAUUAACUCUCUAGAAAUUUUUCUGUUACUUCAUAAUUCGACUACUUGCUUGGUGAAGUUAAUAUGCUGUUCUACUAUAUUGUUAUGCAAAUUAUAACUGGGAGAGAUAUGCAUACAAUUUCGCUUCAUUAAUUUGCAAUAAUAUGUUUUUUAUUUUUAUUUUUCGCUCCUCUUUUCACCUUCUUCGCAUCUAAUUUUGCUUAUUUAAUUCGAGAGAAACUAUACUACAAGGGUGAUGUUUUUUUUUUAGUUAAUACAGGAGCAUAUAUUAGUAAAAGAUGAGUUAGGUUACAUCACUGCCCACAUGGGCAUCAAAAGAGUUUUGUCCCAGAAUGGGAUCAACAGUACCAAAAUUAUAGGACGAAAUUUUCCUACAAUACCUAGUUCCUAGUUUGUCUGCAUCUAUGGUUAUUGAUACAAACACAGGAGGAACUACCAAAAUGUUUGGGCUUCAUUGCUAAUGUCGUCUCCCUCCUUCUUUAGCGAGUAAGUCAGCUACCUUGUUCCCUUCUCUGUACAUAUGCACUGGUGGAGCUGCUUCCACCAUCUCCAGUAAUGACCUGCAAUCAUCAACCAGAUUGUUAAGGAGUAGGUGCCCAUUUGUGAGUAUUGUGAUCGCAUGAACUGAGUCUAUUUCUAUGUUAAUGUAAGUAAUGCCCAGGUGAGAUGCAAUUUGGAGUCCUACUCUUAAAUCAUGUAAUUCCGCAGCAAUUGGAGUAGUAUUGUUGAUACAAUCCAUAAAUCCCACAAUCCACUCCCCUUUAUGAUCCCUGAUGACACUCUCUAGCCCCCAUUUGUCGUGGUUCUGCUUAAUAGAAGCAUCAGUAUUGAGUUUGAGGAAUCCCAGCGGAGGUGGGUUCCAACAGAUAUGAAUAAUUUGGUUUGGGUAUUGCUGGUGAUAAUCCCCUAUAACAAGCUCAUAUUCUAAAGCAUUUGAAAGAAUAGUUCCUGUGUCUAUUGCUUUCUUCUCAUUAUUAAACAAGUUGUUAUUUCUAACUAACCAAAUUUCCCAAAUAAAGAAAGGUAUAAUGGUACCCCAUUUAAUCCAUUUGUUGAAAGCUUUGUGUUAAAGAGUGGCCCACAAUUUUCUCUAGUAGUUGGAUUUGACAGAAGUGAUAUCAAUGGACAUGGUGGUAUGGCUAGUUAUAUCAUUCCAGGCUGCAUAAGCAUUUUGGCAUUUGAAGAAGAUAUGGUCAGUAUCUUCCUCAUUGGAGUUGCAGAAGCGACAGUUUGGAUUGAUGUCCAUGCUUAUUCUGUAGAGAUACUUGUUGGUUGGGAGCCUUUUGUGAGUUAGUAGCCACAUGAAGUUUUUGAUCUUGUUUGGAUAUUUAGCUUUCCAAAUAUCCCUAAAGUCAAUAGAGGUAUCAUUGUUAGCAUCCCAAGGGUGGGAACAAUUGUUUAUGAGAUUGUAGGCACUGUUAGUGCUGGAAGCACCAUCACUUGUAAGUCCCCAUAUCGGUUUAUCCUCAAAAACACCAUGAUGAGGGAUGUGGGUCCUGAGGAUAAUGUCUUGAAUAUGCUGGGGGAUCACAAAGGAUAAGUCUUGGAAUUGCCAAGUUCUGCUGGAGUAGAUGUCAGAUAAGGUAAGCUGAUCCUCUUCAGGUUUAGUAGGGCCAAGGAGCAUGGCUCUGUGAGAAGGGUGAUGAGGAAUACAUCUAUCCUCAUAGAACUUAAUCGUAUUCCCUUUGUGUGGGAUCUACUUGUGGCCAGCAGUGCUAUCCUUCUAACCUUGCUUAACGCAGUACCAAGUUAUGGAGAUUACUUUAGCCCCCAGACUAUUUCUGGUUGGGUUUUUAUACUUAUUCAGCAGAAUUUUUCCCUAGAGAGAUUGGGUGUUUUGAUGUAAUCUCCAGGCCAAGCUAACACGAAGGGAUCUAUUUUUUAUCUCACUUCUCUGGAUACCUUGCCCCCUAUCUUGCUUAGAUCUAGUUAUGAUGUCCCACCCAAUAAGGUGAAGCUUUUUCUUAUCAGAAGUAGUGCCACAAACAAAGUUCCUUUGGAUUCUAUUGAUUAGAUCAGUUGUUUUGAUAGGGAGCUUAAUGCACUGCAUAACAUGGGAAAGAAUGCUGGCUAGGAAGGAUUUAGUAAGGACAGUUCUACCAGCUUGGUUUAGGAGUUCAGUCUUCCAACCACUCAGUUUGUUGUUCAUAUUGUCAAUAAUGAACUGAAAGUCAGAGUGAGUUGGUUUUUUGUGGAAGAUGGGGAAUCCAAGAUACUUGCCAACGUUAGUGCUCUUUUGGAUGUUGAGGAUGUCAGUGCAUUCCUUAGCUUGAGUAGUAUAACAGUUCUUGGAGAAAAUUGCUUUAGACUUGGAAAAGUUUAUUCUUUAUCUAGAGACAGUACAGAAGUGGUGGAGGGUCAGCUGAAUUAUUUAAAAUUUUUCUUCGUUGCUUUAGAGAAGAGGUGAGGUCGUCAUCAAAGAAGGGGUGGGAGAUGAAAGGUCCUCUAUUGGUGACUUUAACAGGAUUCCACAAUCUUGAGAAGAUAGUACUGUCAAUAUUUCUUGAGAAAAUAGUACUGUCAAUAUUUCUUGAGAGUCUUUCCAUGCAUAGGAUAAAGAGGUAGGGAGAGAUAGGAUCCCCUCUUCUUAUUCCUCUUGAAGAUUUGAAAGGUUCAGUUUCCCCCAUUUAUGAGAAUGGAAAUGGAAGAGUUUGUUACACAAGACAUGAUAAUCCUGGUUAGGCUAGCGGGGAAAUUGAAGUAGUUAAGGGUAUCACUGAUAUAGGACAAUUUCAGCCUAUUGAAAGCUUUUUCUAGAUCAAUUUUUAUGAUCAUGCUAGGGGUCCUCCCUCUCAUUUAUUAAAAUAGAAGACGAAUUCUUGCAUAAUGAUGGAGUUAUCAGUAGCCCUCCUUUUGGAUAGGAAGCUAGCUUGGGUAGGUCCAAUGAUAGAGAGUAGGAUUGACUUGAUUCUGUUAACAAUGAUCUUGGUGACCAGCUUGUAGACAGUGUUACAGAGAUCUAUGGGCCUGAAGUCUUUGGCUAGAGCAGCAUUGGAGUUGGCUUGCUCAGGCAUGCUUUUCUUAUUAAAGACUUCUCUGCAAAAAGCUAUGGUCUUCUCACCAACAAUAUUCCAGAAUUUCUGGUAAAGAAAGGGGUGGAUACCAUCUGGGCCAGGAGCCUUAUGGGGGUUGAAGGUUUUAAUGGCAUUGAUGAUCUCACUAUCCCUAAGAUUGUUAGCUAGUGAAUUAGAGAUGGCAUUUCUAAGGAUAGGUCUUGUGGCUUGGUGGUGAUUCUGAGGGUAAGGAAAACCGACAUGGUCAGUAAAAUAUAAGGUGAAAAAGUAAGUGGUGAGGAUAGUUUAAAUCCUCAGGUGUUCUUGGAUGCAGUUUUCUUCCUCAUCCUUGAGGCUUGUGAUUGUGUUCCUCCUUCUUCUGUUGAGGGUAGAUAUAUGGAAGAAUUUGGUAUUUGCAUCUCCCUGAGCAAGCCAGUUAAUUCUGGACUUGGUUCUCCAAAAUUCUUCCUCACAAUUCAGGAAGGUGUUGUACUCUACAAGGAGUUGAGCUUCCAAAUUCUGAAGAAAAGGGCUUGAAGAUUAAGCAUUAGCUUUUUGAAUGUCAUCUAACCUAGCUAGGACUCUUUUGAUCUUAUGAAAGAUGUUUCCAAAAGUAUGCUUAUUCCAAUGGAGGGCAUCCCUUUGAAAGUUGUCAGUAGCUUUCAAUAAAGUGUUGGGGGGUCAAAGGAGUGGUGAAUGAGGUUACUAAAGAAAGGGUGGCUACACCACAUGUGUUCUAGUCUAAAGGGUCUGUUAUUAGUAGUGAUUGGCUGGUGGAGCUGGAAUUUAAGGGGUCAGUGGUCAGACUUAGUUUUGGGAAGGUAGGUGACAGUAGCUUUAAGGUAAGCCUUAAUCCAGGAGAUGUUAGCUAUACAUCUGUCUAAUCUUUCAAGGAUAAGAUUGUUAUUACCCUUGUACCUUUAGUUGGUCUAAGUGCAUUUGCAGCCCCUAUACCCUAGGUCAAUCAUGCUGCACUGGUUCAUGCAACUUCUAAGAAGAUAAAAUUUUUUAUUAUUAAUUUGAUUUCCCCCUACUUUGUCUCUAUCUUGGAGAACUUCAUUGAAGUCUCCUCCAAUGAGCCAUUCUCCCUGGUAGGACUGGGAUAUAGAGGUGAGAUUGUCCCAAAGGGUAGUCCUAGUAGCAAAGUUAGGACUAGCAUAAAUAGCAGAGAAGAGCCACUGAGAAGGGUCAGAGAGUACCUUAACCAUGACAUGGAUGCCCUGGGGUGUGAUGGAAAUGUUGUCAAGAUUCAACAUAGUUUCGUUCCACAUAAUGAAAAUACCCCCAGACUGACCAUUAGCAGAAGAUUGGAUGUGAGAGUCAAAGUUGAAAGCUUUGGUGAGCCUGUGAUGUUCAGCCAUCCUGGUUUCCAGCAGAGCUAACAUUGCAGGUUUAUGUAUCUUAACCAUGGUAUCACAUUGUCUCCUAAAGUUAGCACUAUUUGUUUCUCUUACAUUCUAAAUAAUGAAAUUCAUGAGGGAAGAGAGUAGGUUAUUUGGAGGGGUCUGAGUCACGGCUGAUGCCCUUUGGGUAGAAUUCAUGGUCAAGCCUAGUGGGUUUAGGGCUACUGCUGAGGGGAUAUGGUCCAUCUGAUUCCUUAGAUUCAGUGUGCACCUCCUCAUCAUAAUUGGACAAUAAGUUAUAAUAGCUUCGCUGGUAGGCUCUUUGAAUUCUAGCACUAUCAUUUUCUCCAAAAAGAAGGUCUCUAUUUUUUGUUCUCCAAAAGGCAGCUAAUAUAGUUUCCAGUUCUACAUUGGACUUCUUUAGCUUCUCUACCAGCUCUAGUAUUGAGUUUUCUGAUUUUCUUGGGUUUUCUUCUCCUACUGGUAAUGGUGGUUGGGCCUGGUUCCCCUGGAAUAGCCAACGAACAAAGAUUGGUUGUGGAAUUUUUGUAUUGGGUGCAUUCACUGGGAAGAAAAGUAGGUUGUAGGGCACCUGAUUGAAUAUUGAGUUCAGUUUCUGUGACGGUAUUUGGUGGGUUGGUUGAUAUCAUAUCUGGCUAUAAUAAGGUUUGCAGACAUACUUGGGUCCCUAGCCUUUCUAAAGAGCAGUUGAGGGCAUCUUUGAGGACUUGUGCAAGGAAAGUUGGGUCCUGUAGAACCACCACAAGUGGUUGGUUGCCAAGCAUCAUGUUCAGAAUGAUUGACUUGUCCUGUAGGAGGAGCUCCAACCAUGAUGCUGGUGUAGGGUUCUGUGGUGGAAGUGUUGAUACAAAUAUUAGGGGCUCGGGGCUUUGUUACUGGGGUGUGUUCUGUGGAUUUUCCAUCUUGAAGAGUUUGGAUGAUGGUGGGGGGAGUGAAUGGAUCCACCUCCAUGAAGAUACCCUUAGAUAGGGUGUUUAGAUGAGAAGAGUUACUUGGCACGAUGGGGAGUGUCAAGUCACCACUGGCAAUAUAAUGAUUGCUCUUUACCAGAGGUUAUAGUUUUAAGGGAGCUAUAGAGUGGGUUGAGGGGAGAGAGUUAGAGACAAUUGGAUCUGAGGAGGGUCCACUUCCUAUAGUAGGAAUGACUUUACUUUCUAAUUACCCAGUCUCAUUAACUCUUGAGGUCAUAUUAUUAUUUAAUUGUUGAUUUGGCUUUGGAUUUGGUAUUAGAUUCUCAAUAGUGGAGGGGUUAUUAUUACUUUAUUCUUGGGCCUUAGUGGUGUUACCCGAGUGACUUUGGGCCUAGUUUUGUUGAUCUCGGGGAUUGGGAGAGCGGCCCAAAGAGCUUUGAGUCAUUUGGCUUAGUUGGGGUGUCUAUUUUGGACCUGGACCAAUAUUUUGUUUCCUCUCGCCAUUCUUGGGCCCAUUAUUUUGUUGUUGGGUCCCAUGAGGAUUGGCAUCGAUGCCUGAACUGAUUUCGACAUUCGUUAUCGGAGGUGAGGGAUUCAAAAGAGUGGAAAACUUACCUGUUAGGGCGUUGUACUCCUUUACCUGGAUGGACGCAUCCUUGUGACUGGAUUUGGAGUUUGCCUUCCUUGUUGAGAAUGAUACUGUUGUCCAUCUAUCACUAUCAGUGUUUUUCGAUGGUGAUUGUUUGCUGGUGGAGGUUUAUUGGUGAUGGGGGCAAUUUCCAGUAACGUAACUAAUGCGUCCACAACACGUGUACAUUAUCCCCUCUCCCUCUUAGACCAUCUUCUGCUUAUGUAUUCUAAUGGUAACAGUGGUUAAGAGCGGUGUGUUUAGAGGUAAUUCAAUGCAUAUCCUUCCAUACCGGCCCCUAAGGGUUGCAAAAGUGCAUGCGUCAAUCUUUAGGAGUUCGCCCAAUUUUUGUCCCACUUUCUCCAGUAUUGAGCUAUCAUAGUACUCAGCCGGCAAUUAGGGUAAUCUAACCCAAAUUGCCGUGUAUGUGAGCGUGAACUCAUCUAGUACAAAGCUAGGCACGCAUUGUUGUAUCGUUAGGAAUUCCCCUGCAACGAACCAGGGCCCUUGAUGUAGCACUUUGUUUGUAUUUUCUUGUUAAGCGAAUUUAACCGUAUAGAAAUCGCACUCCAAAUCUAUAAGAAUAAGGGGCUCUGUUGGUUUCCACAGCUUAGUUAAUUUAUUUUUGAGGUAUUGAUGGUCUAGUUUCUUUUCAAAGAGUUUGAUUAUUAGUGAGUGUUGUCAUGGUUCAUGGAUGUGUCUGAUCUCAUUAUCAGAGAGGAGAAUAGCAGCAUCAUGGGUAGCCUGGAUGAUUUCAAUGCCUUUGCCUGGGCGUUGUUGAUAUGUGAUGUUUAGAUCGGGACUCUUUUCCAUCAGUAUUUAUUUGAAGGAUGGCCUGGCUGUGUCAUCUUCAUCCAUGGAGGUCUUCAUGUACGGUGGAUCCGGUGGUUUCGAUGGUGGUAUGGUUGGGGGGUUAAUGUGUGUUGCUGGUGGUAUGGUCAUAGCUAGGGGGGUCGAUCCUCUAGGUAACAGGAGACCUAUAUGUUACUCCUUACUAGUUACAAGAAAUUUGGCUAUUGAUGGGUUUGGCCAUUAGGGUGACGUUUAUUAACACUUGCAAUCUUUAAUUGUCAUGAAGGAAUAAGGAAAUUCUAAUUCUCAUCCCGUUCCUAAAUAUUUAUCACUUCACAAAAUUAAGACAUAUUAAUUAUUAUUAUUAUUAUUAUUCUCAUUUUCCUCUUACAAGAUUUGUGUGCAUUAAUGUUAAUUUAGUAUUUCAAUCCAUUUAUUUGUGAUUAUUUACAUACUUUCACAAACAUACUUACUCCGUAUAAAUAAAGACACGAUGAUAAAAUUACGUAGCUUCUUAAAGGGUGUAAAAUUUAAAAAGAUGACAACUAUUUAGGAACAAAGGAAGAAUAUUUUAGAGACACUAAAAUCAACUAAAAUAUUUUCGUAUAAACGUAAGUCCUACUUUUUGGGACCAAAUAUAAGAAUCAAAUUUGACAUUUGAAUAACUUUUAGAAAUUGAAAUUUCAAGGUUUUAAUAUCUUACCACUAACCAUUAGGUUUAGAUUUUAAAUUUUUUGACCUUCAAUUCUAUAAUAGACAAUUAAAGUCUGAUCCAAUUUACAUUAUGUACUAUUAUUUUAACGUGACAUGGAUUUAAAUUUAAUUGAUUUUGUAUUAUGAAUUUAUAUAGACUUCAAAUUUAAUUCUGAAUCUUGAAUUUAAUUGUUCUAAAAGUUUGAAAUUUCUGAAAGUCAAAUUUUAAAUUUAAAAUCGUACUUAGGUCGGUUAUUUUAUUUUAUUUUAUUUUUGGGUGAUUUGAACUUUAAAUUUCUUUGGUUAAAUUUUAUCAACAUACUUUUACUUUGUCCAUUAAACAGAGCUCUUGUGUUUAAUUUUUAAUAUUUCGUAGUAUUGUAGUUUAAAGGGAUAAAACUCACAAAAAUACCUGAACUUUUACCGAAUUUUCAGUUGAGCAUACUGAACUUUGCGGAGGUCCUAUUACCCCCUAAAAGAUUUGGGUUCAUUUGAGAUGGGGAUAAAAAUUUGAUAAAAGUGAUUAUCGUGGUGCUUUGAUUUGCUAUUAGUUUUUUAUUUGAAAUAAUCGUAAUUUUCUCGAAUUUGAUAGUAUCAUGAUAGGCCGAAAUGGAUAGGAAAAUGUAGGUUCAGGUAGGCAAAAUUAGGAAUAGUGUUUUGUUGAAUGUUUAAUUGUGGAAUGUGUGUUUAAUGUUUUCUAGUUUAUUGUACUUGAUUCAAGUGUAUUUAUUUGGCCGGGGAAUGCCCCGAGGUUUCAUGUAUUUAGUCACCGAGGAAUGUCCCAACGUAUUAUAUCUUCGAAGGUGGUUUGUGAUCCAGGCCCGAGGCAUCGGGUAAGGCAUUGGAGCAUAGUUUUAGGAUUAGCUUAGAAUAACAUUUAUAUUUUGGCAUUUUUUCUAUUUUUGGACUGUAUAAUUGGACUGGACACUAAAUUUUGAAUUUGUUUUGUUCUGUGUGUUUGAUUGAUUAUUUUAUGUGUUUUUGUGUGGUUUAUAUAUUCGUAAUGUCAAAUUAGCUGAUACGAUCCACCAAGCGAUCGUGGUCGAACCACGGGAUCGAGAGGUGCCUAACAUCUUUCUUUCGGUCAACAGAAUUCCUUAGCUGGAAUCUCUAUUCACAAACUAGUUUAAAAGAGUCAAAUCAUUUUGAAAAGGAUUUUUAAAAGUUGACUUGGCACACCGGAUUAUGCCAAGUGACGACUCUGAAUAAAAAAUGUAAAUAAUUCUUUUUCGAAAUAAAUUUCAUUUUUUGUCACUUUGAUAAUUAAAAAUCCUUUCAAACUUAAAAUCAAUAUUUUUUGGUUAAAAAAAGGGGUGUGACAGCUCUGGCGAUUAUGUUGGGAAUUUUUCAGAAUUCGAGCUUAUUUUUAGAGUUGUAUUAGCUUAGUUUGACAUUAUGGGUGUAUAAACAUUGUUUGUGUUAUCGUUUGGGUUUAUUUUAUCAUUGUUGAGUGCCUACGUGUUUACAGUCUUUCUUUAGGUGUUACCGCUUUAUAUCUGGCAUCAUUUGCAUAACCCGAGUUAAUUCUUUCUACAACAAGUCCUAGAGUGCAUGUUGUGUACACGAACUCUAAUUGAGUCACCCUUAUUUUAGGAGGGGGAGCCAUCGGAUGUAUGGAGUGGGUGGAAAGUUUUCGCAACCACUAUCGACCAUACGCCAGUGGCAGAGCCACAACCUAUGAAGAGUGGUCAGAUGAACACCCUUUGUCGAAAAUUUUUUUCGAGUAUAUAGGUUAAAUAUAGAUAUUUAUGAUUAUAUACAUGUUGUUACACACCCUUGACAAGCUAGAGAAGCAUAGUUCAGUGGUCAAAAGUGUGCAUUUCCACAUCAACAACUCAGGUUCGAACCUUGGCAGGUCAGUAGUGCUUUAUUUUCUCUUUUUUUUUUUAAACAAUUUUAAACAAUUCUUUUCCCAAAGAAAAAUAUGAACACCCUUAUCCAAAAGUCUGGCUCCACCACUGCCAUACGCUCCCCCGAACAGCCUUGUUAGUGGACCCCAGUGUAAGUUAGCCUUUAGGUUAUGCUUAUCUGCAUCAUACUGAGACCUAGCGGGACUCACUUGGUCCUCUAUCGGAGACUCACCUUAAAAGCAUCCUUACGGGCUGAAUAUUGUAUUUUUUAGGGUGAUGUGAUCAUUUGACGGAUUGAUUUGGAGAAAACAUGUGAUAGAAUUAAACAAAGCUGUGUAGGCAAGAAAAAAAAUAAAAAAGAGUUUCUUAGUUUUUUUAGAGUUCUUUAUGACUUUUAUUUUUUACAAUCCAAAAAUUUUAAAAAGAUUUUCUUACCUUUUUCAUGCAUUUACUCAAAAAACAAAAAAACUCAAAAAGAUUUUCCCUUUAUCUCCUUUAGCAUGCAUUCAUAAUUUGAAAACUACAAAAAAAAAAUAAAAAUUUAGGAGCUUUUAUAAAAGGAAAAUUCAAAAAAAUGGUAGAAGUUUUGUAUAUUUCAUAUAACGAAAAUACCAAAAAGAUUUUUCUUUCAUAGUUGUUGGUGUCAUUUUUAUGUGAAUUGUCAAAUUGAAAACUCAAAGAAAUUUUAUUAAUGUUAUUCAUUGUCUAUCUUUGGUCGUAUCUCUUAAGUUAGAGUUCAGUUUGUCAUUUAAUCAUUAAUUGGUUCGGGGAUCUUAUUUCAAAAAAUUCAAAAAGAUUUUCUUCACUCUUUAUUAGAGUAGGUUCAUAUACAUCUUUCAAAGAAAACUACAAAAAAAAAAAUCCAGUAGUUUCAAGUUUCAUUGUCAUAUUGAAAUUCAAAAUCAAAAACCCAAAAAAGAUUUUUUUUGGUAAUCAUAGGUUUCAUUUUGUAUAGAAAUAUGAAAAAUUCAACAAAAGAAAAAAAAAUUUCUUUCACUCUUCAUUUUGAGUAGGUGUUUCAUAUACAUCUUCAAGAGAAAACCACAAAAAAAUUUUCCUUUUAUAGGCUCAAGUCUCAUUUUGGUAUGAAAUUCAAAAUCGAAAACCCAAAAAGAUUUUUUCUUUGGUAAUCAUAGGUUUCAUUUUUUAUAGAGAUUUUAAACUUGAAAAAUUCAAAAAAGAUUUUCGUCAAUUCUUUUGACACUUUAUUACUUCUUUUUCUUCUAAAGUUUCAAGAAAAAGAAAGAGUGCUUCAUUGGCCCUUUUGUGGCCAAACUUCACGAACUACGCACACCUGAUUCUCCUCUCUCGGUAGUGAGAUACGUAAGCGCCCUUCUUGGGUUCGGUGAUAUUUUCAAAAAGAAAAAUGGAAAAAAAAGGUUUUGGAAAAAAUGUUGAACUCUAAUGUAUUUGUGUUACCACUUUAUAUCUGGCAUCAUGUGUGAUACCAAACUCCCCAAUAACACAACAACACAAACACCAAAAUCAGUCUACUAGUUCAAGAACUAUGAACCUUUUUGAUGACCUCUCUGGGAUUCGCAAGAAGAACAAGAAGGGAAGCGAUAUCAAGAGUAAAACACACUAAAAUAGCAACAACACUUGAUAAACAAGAUGCAAUAACAACAACACACGGUUACAAGACAAGAACACAAACGGAUUACACUAGAUAUAGAGAAACGAUUACAAGAAAGUAAAGAUAGAUAGAUAGACAAAGGGAUGGUAUAAUAUUAACAACCCAAAAGCUUAUUCCACUUUUGGACCUUUAAUAUCACGCACAACUUAAACCUAUCUCUUAUGUGACCUCAAGGGAACCGAAAUUUCCAAGCAAUCUCCGUUUCUAAGCAAAUGAUCAACAUAAGGAUUCCACCUUGUCCAAGGAUUCCACAUUGCUAAAGACUCUCAAAGAAACUACAAAAUAUAUUCUCCAAAAAUCCCCCAAAAAUGACCUAAUGAGGUUCUAUUUAUACCUAGGUUAACUUAUUACAAAUGACUAAAAAACCCUUGCAAAGGGCGGAUGAAUAGUGAAUGCGGAUGCACAGUGAACAAUUUUGGAGUUUGUGGGACUUGUUCUCUAUACUUCAAAGCUUGUUCCUUGGAUGGGAAGCCCCCCGAGCUUGAGUCUUGACGCAUUGGACCCCGAUCAUGAUCAUACCCAUAUCAUCCUCCCCUCUUUAGAAAGGAUUCGUCCUUAAAUCCGAACCUUGCAAAGCAAUAGGAAGGACAGGCAAACAAAAAUUCCUCAAGGUAUGAGGGUUAGGAUUAGUUUAAUCAAUCAAAGCAUCUUGCCAAGGUGGAUCAAACUUCACAUAUACCCAAACAUCCCUCUUACCUGAAUACCCUACCAAGGGAGAAUCAACUAGUUUAUCCACAUAAGUAUGACAAGAAACAAGGAACAAGCAUCGCUUUAUCAAGUGGAAAACAUAGACUCUUCUUGGAACAACAAUUACACUUGAAAGCCGAGAGAGGAAAGCCAUACAUUCCAUGCACAUUCAAGUCAUUGCAAAAGACAUCCUCAUCACCACACUUCAAAUGAUCACCGAAAUCAAAUGGGUAGAGUGUCCAUGGGCAUGGGUUGGGAAUACACUUUCUUACCCCAAUACUACUACAAUAAUGAUCAAAUGUCCCCUCUAUACUAUCAUGGUCAAUAACAAAAACAACUAGAGGGUCAUCCUUAGUCAUUCGGCCAACAUGUUCAAAAUCAUCAUUUUCACACACAAGUUGGUCUUCAUGACUUCCAUAAGAAAAUGUACUACCACUUUCCACAAUGGCUUCAAAACUAGGUGAAUCAACUAGUGUAUCCACAAUCUCAAUUUGUACAUUAUCAUCGCAAAAUGAAGGCACAUUUGGCUUACUUAAAGAUAAAUUAUCAUUCACACUUAGUUGGCUAUUAUCCUCAUUCACUAGAGUGGAAAAAUUAGUUUGAUUACCUUAUAGCUCACAUGGAGCAUGGACACUCAUGGAAAUUUAAUUAGGAAGUAUUGGAUGCUCCAUCAAGUUAUCCAACUUCUUGUACAGAGAGUCUUCUGUCCCUUCCAAUCUUCUUUCCAUUCUGUCCAUUAUUCGCCUAUCUAUGGCAUCAAGCCUUGCCAUGAUGGAUUUAACCCAACUAGGCAUUUCAGCUUCAUUCUCCAUUGUACCCAUCAAGAGCUACUAAGCAAACAACACAAAAACAACAAACACAUUAAAGAUUAGCAAAAAUCAGUCCACAAUCCCUCACUUUCACACUUUGGAUUUUUCACUCUAUUAGCCUUACAAGUGUUGAUAACUCACUUGUACUCCAAUGAGGUUACUUGGUCCCAAUUGUGGCUCGAGGUCAGAGUAGAUUCUUGUCUGAAACAACUCAAAUAAGUAAUGUACGAACUUGAACCAAAAAAGAUACUAUGACUCAAAAAUGAGAACCAUACAACAAACAAUGUUAACAUGAAGAAUGUACACAAAACUAACUUACAAGCUAGUAGGGUAUUACUAGGUUGUCAAUUAGUGUCGAGCAAACAAACGAAACUAGGAAAUAAUAAAAUAAAACUAAGAAAUCUAAAAUUUGAACUCAAAAAUGUUGUGUAAAUAGUACUUUAGUGAUGUGGCAGUCCACUAUUGGCCUCAAGUUUUAUCAAAAUUUUAUUUCCCAAUUUCAAGUCUUGAUCAAUAUACAAUUUGGAAUUGGUGGAUUUGGUUAAUGGAGGGAAAAGUGNNNNNNNNNNNNNNNNNNNNNNNNNNNNNNNNNNNNNNNNNNNNNNNNNNNNNNNNNNNNNNNNNNUCCUUGAAACAAGGUCCUUAAAUCAAGAAAAAGUAGAUGAAAAGUCUUUGAAGUGAUAGGGACAAGUCUUUCACUAACAACUACUACAAGCUUGUUUUUCACCUUUUUAGAUCUAGUUUGCACUUUAAGGAUUAACAAGAUGAUGAAAGGGUGAAGAACCUUAAGAACACAAUAACAACUCCAAGAACAAAAACAAUUUCAGUUUCCAACUGCACUACAACAAAACCAUCAAAUCGGCCAAGGUUUAGGUAACAACAACAUCCAACUCAGCCACACCUUGUUCACAUCAACAACUUCAACAAGUUCAAGUUCAAUCUUAAAUUUGAACACUUUUUAGUGUUGAUGGGAAAGAAACCAACGCUAGAAAUACUCUAAACAAACAAAAGACUACAAGUUCUAGACACACAACAAACAAAUCUUGGCCAAGAUAACAACAACACAAUUUUUGGCUAAGAACACAAAAUGGAUAGAUUUGCACUUUUCUGGAAUUUUUUUCAGUUUUAAGUUGUUUUUUUUUUUGAAUUUUCAUCCAAGAGAACCCAAGAUUGGUAGUGUAGGAAAACAACCAGCCUUGCUCUGAUACCAAAUGAUACCAAAAUCUCCAAGAACACAACAACACAAACACCAAAAUCAGUCCACUAGUUCAAGAACUAUGGACCCUUUUGAUGACCUCUCUCGAAUUCGCAAGAAGAACAAGAAGGGAAGUGAUAUUAAGAGUAAAACCCACUAAAAUAGCAACAAAACUUGAUGAACAAGAUGCUAUAACAGCAACACAUGGUUACAAGACAAGAACACAAACGAAUUACACUAGAUAUAGAGAAACGAUUACAAAAAAGUAAAGAUAGAUAGAUAGAUAAAAGGAUGGUAUAAUAUUAACAACCCAAAAGCUUAUUCCAAUUUUGGACCUUUAAUAGCACACACAACCUAAACCUAUCUCUUACGUGACCUCAACGGAACCGAAAUUCCCAAGCAAUCUCCGUUUCUAAGCAAAUGAUCAACACAAGGAUUUUGGCCUUUUAGGCCACGAAAGUUUGAGGCAAUAAUAGGUCUGUGAUGCCCUUAGAUGUUCUGGGCCUCACGCACACUACACUGAUGUAUUCAACGAGUUUAUAGCCUUGGCCGACAGAAGAGAAGUGUAUUUUGAUAUCUUUUAGAGUGAUAAUAAAACCCUAAAGUAUUUUUAUGUAAUGGGUCACAAUUAGGAAAAGAGGGAAAUAACCCAAGUGCUAAUUAAAAUACAGGAAAAACUAUCACUAGUGACUACGAGUCAUGUCACGUCUUAUGAUGUUUAGUUACGAGUCGUCACCACGACUCAUAGUCUGGGCAGAGACACCUUGUCCAAGGAUUCCACCUUGCUAAAGACUCUCAAAGAGGCUACAAAUAUAUUCUCCAAAAAUCCCCCAAAAAUGACCUAAUGAGGAUCUAUUUAUACCUAGGUUAAAUUAUUACAAAUGACUAAAAAACCCUUGCAAAGGACGGAUGAACAGUAAACAGUUUUGGAGUUUGUGGGACUUGUUCUCUACACUUCAAAGCUUUUUCCUUGGAUGGGCAACCUCGAGCUGGAGUCUUGACGCAUUGGACCUCGAUCAUGAUCGUACCCAUAUCAAUGUGCAUAACCCGAGUCAUUUUUCUGCAAUAAGUUCGUAGUGCACGUUCUGUACACGACCUCUAGUUGAGUCACUCUUAUCUUAGGAGGGGGAGAAGUCGGAUGGUAUGGAGUGGGUGGAAAUCUAAAGCAACCACUAUCGAUCAUACGCUCCCCCGAACAACCUUGUUAGUGAAUCCCAGUGUAGGUCAGCUUUUAGGUCUUGUUUAUUUGCAUCAUAUUGAGAUCUAACGGAACCCACUCGAUUCUUUGUAGGAGACUCACCUCUAAAGCAUCCCUACUUGCUAAAUGUUGUAUUUUUUAAGGUAACAGGAUCAUUUGAUAGGCUGUUUGGGCAAAAGCAUAUGUUAGGAGUAAAGUGUAAAGGUGAGAAAUUAUUGAAAAAAGAGAAGGAACAAAAUAAAAAGAGUGAAAAAAGCAGAGUUUUGUAGUUUUUUAGAGUUCUUUAUGAUUUUUAUUUUUCACAAUCCAAAAUUCAAAAAGAUUUUCUUACCUUUUUCACGCAUUUACUCAAAAACAAAACCUCAAAAGCUUUUCCCUUUAUCUCUUUUAGCAUGCAUUCAUAAUUUAAAAAUUAAAAAAAAAAAAGAUUUUUAGGAGCUUUUUAUAAAAGAAAUUUCAAAAAAAAGACGGUAGAAGUUUCGUACAUUUCAUAUAACGAAAAUACCAAAAAGAUUUUUCUUUCGUAGUUGUUGGUGUCAGUUUUAUGUUAAGUGUCAAAUUGAAAACUCAAAAAGAUUUUAUUGAUGCCUUUCAUUUUUUGUUUGUGGUCGCGUCUCUCAAGUCAGGGUUCAGUCGGUUAUUUAACCCUUAAUUGUCCUAUCUGGAUGAACUACGCACCCCUGAUUCUCCUAUCUUGGGAGUGAGAUACGUAGGCAACCUAUUGUUGGUUUGGGAAUCUUAUUUAAAUAAUUCAAAAAGAUUUUCUUUACUCUUUAUUUAGAGUAGGUAUUUCAUAUAUGCCUCGAAAAGAAAACUCUAAAAGAUUUUCCUUAAUAGUCAUAGGUUUCAUUUUUGGUUGAUCUUAUUUCAAAAGAUCCAAAAAAAAAUUCUUCACUCUUCAUUUGGAGUAGGUAUUCCAUAUACAUCUUUAAAGAAAACUACAAAAGACUUUCCUUUAAUAGUUUCAAAUUUUAUUUUCGUAUGAAAUGCAAAAUUGAAACUCAAAAAGAUUUUCUUCGGUAAUCAUAGAUUUCAUUUUUGUAUAGAGAUGUUAAAGUUGAAAAGUUCAAAAAGAGUUUCGUCAAUUCUUUUGACAAAUCGUUAUUUUCUUUUCUUCUUAAAGUUUCAAGAAAAAGAAAAAAAAAAGUUUAAUUGACCAUUUUGGCAAGACUUCACGAACUACCACCUGAUUCUCCUCUCUCGACAGUGAGAUACGUAGGUGCCCUUCUUGGGUUCGGUGAUAUUUUCAAACUAAGAAAAAGAGAAAAAGAGUUUUGAAAAAGUGUUGAACUCUAACACAUUUGUUGUUUUUGUUGAGUCAGUUUAAGGUGGUUGGUUUGUAGCAUUCUGACUGGUCCUCCACAUCACACCAAAUUCAAAGAGUUAGUUGUAUCCAACAAAGAUAUAGAGAGUGACAUCAUGGAUCAAACAAAGAGUUAUGAAAAUGAGAGUUUAAAGCAAGAGAUUAGGAGACUAAGGCAACAAAUGAUAGAAAUACAUCAAGCUUAGGCCAGUGGGUUGCCUCUUCCUCUAUUUUCUGCUAUUGAUCCUACAAAUACCUCGAGUUUUCCACAAAAAUCAUAAAGUCAGUGUCCUACUGUUGUUGAUGCACCACAACAUACUCAGAAUUUAUUCCAAGCCAAAAGCAUCACAAUACUUUCACCAUUUUUCCUCGAGCUCCUCAGUACAAGCCUGAUACAUUCACAACACCACAUGUCGUCUGUGAUCUUGUUGCUUAAUCCCCUACUGAGGUUUCUACAUUGGCCAAGCACCCAACAGUUGUGCUUUCUCAUGCUGCUAAUGGACCCUUGUUCCAUACUCUUGGUGAUCAUCGCUAUACUCUUGAUCCUACUUUUAUGCUAAUUGGACCACCAAAAUUUCUUAACAAGAAGCCUAGUGCGCUAGAAAAGCCAGAGAAAAUGGUUGAAAAAAUGAAAAGUGCAGGAAAUAUUGUGAAAAGUUCCCUAAGACUUGUCAGUAAAGAAGAUGUUUCAUACAAAAACUAGGGCAUGUAUUCAAGUGUUAACCCUCCUCUAAGUCUUGAGAUAUCAAAAUUCGAGGAGCAAGAUGAACAGGAGGAAUCCGUGAAACAUUUGGGACAAUAUUUUAACCAAUUAAAGGAAACUAGAGGAAAGAAGAAUGAGAAAGAUAUAGUUGCUAUUGUAGUUGGAGAACGGGCACAUCCAAGAAGACGACGUCGUCGUUGCCGUCAAUCUCAAGCCCAAGUUCAUCCCCAAGCUCUCUAUAAUCCCUCCCAAAAUCUAUUAUACUCCAUUUUCCCACCUUCAUAUCUAGUAUACUGCGCACAACCAUAUGUUCAACUCUCUUCUUACUCAUAAUGGCGCGCACCAACUCCUCAGAGUUACCCUCCGACUCCAUAAAUCUAUCAAAGCCUUUCUAGGCCUGAUUUUGGAUCCAAUCCAAACAAUGAAAUGAGGUAGAAAUUAAGGAAUAGCUUCACACUAAUUGGAGAGUCAUUUGCCAGCUUAUUUCAAAAAUUGGUACAACAGGGCAUGAUCAUUCCUCUCCUUGGGUAUAAUCCUGACCCACAUUCAAGAAGUUUUACCCUAGUGUACGAUAUGCAUAUCAUUCUGAUGUUCAGGGUCGUAGUAUUGAAGAUUGUCGGGCUUUGAAAAGAGAAAUUGAAAAGAUGACUCAAGAUAGAUCAAUUAUGGUGCAGAACAUUAACAGUGAGGAAAGCUCUAGUCAUGCUGAUAUGCAAACCAGUGGCUAAGAUGUCAAGCUAAGCAAUUGAUAAGUCAUCCCUCUCCUUCUUAGGAAGAGGUCUGGUAGUUUGUUUUAUUUUAUUUUCUGUUAUUCAAAUUAUUUUAGGGUUGUAGUUCGGGAUCUAUCUUGUUUUGUCCAUUUGUUGUUAUAUUCAAACCCUUCUAUUUUUCAGUUUAAUUAAAUAGAGUGUCCCUUUUUCCUUUGUGUUUUAAAUAUGUGUUUGUCUAUUUUCUUUCCACAAUACAUUUUAUGUUGACUCUAUUGAUAUGAUAUGCUAACGGAAUUUUUAGCCAGAUCUUAAAAUCUAGUUUAAGCAUGAACAUUGAAUCAGAGAUUUAAAGUUAGGAAAAGAGAGCAUUUGAGAAAAUAGGUAGAGUGCUGACGCAUUUUGUGAUCAAGUUGAAGCCUUCUUUGAAAAUUAAGAUAUUUAUUUUGAGAAUCACAAGGAUAACUUGGUCAUCAAUCGAAAGGCAUAUCCCAAUUAGGUCAAACAAGAAAUGUGUAAUCAUCUAUCAAAAGAAACGGGAAUAAAAUCAUCUCCAUAAAAUCAUGAGUCAUUCAAUGUGAGAGAUAUACAACAACGGUAGAGUCGUAUGUUUGACAAGUGUAGAAGAAAGAAGUGGCAUACAUGCUCAGUUAAAGUUUGUGUUGUUAAAAUGUCACACAUGAUCUUCAUCUCUCACUUUUAUAUUGCAUGAUAUAUACUUGCAUUUUCAAGGAUUGAUAUGACGAAGGCAUUUCAUUCUGCUAUCCAAACAGUGUGUCAUAUUUUAUUUACCCCAUUUGAGCCUUCUAUUUUCUUUCGUACCCCUCUUUUGGAAUCAGGAUAGAGUCUGCAACAUCCAAGAAAAAGUGUCAAAAAAAAGGUCAGAAAAGUUUCAAAAAAAAGACAAAAUAUGUCCAAAAAGAAAGUAAAGAGAAGAGUGUUAAGAAAAAUAGAGUCAAAAAAGUUUCAAAGAGAAAAAGGGUCAAUAAAAGAGAAAACGAAGAAGUCAGAAUCAAGCAAAAGAACAACCUGCCAGAACUACGCAUGACCUGAUUCUCCUCUUUCGGGGAUGAGAUACGUAGUCUGCCCUACUCUGGGCUCGGUCUAACCAAAUAAACAAUUUAGUAUAUCCCAGGCAAAAAAAAAACUGGGGCAUGAGUUAAUCCUCAUUGCUUGAGUCGAUUCCAAAAGUUGUAAGUUCUACCGCACUUCAAGUGUCAAUUGAGCCUCAUGCCAUCCUUCUUUCUAACCUUAUCUAAAAGCCGAGUUACAACAAAAGAAAGACCUUCAGAUCAAUCUUUGAGGAUGUUAUGGCUAAGCAUGCAAUGGAUAUGAUGAUGCAUUUGGGAACUACUUGUCUUCCUCAGCAUAAGGAAUCAAGAGAGAAAUAAAAAAAGGAGAGAGUCUUAUUGGUGAAAACCCUUACAGGCACCAUAAGGCGAUAGUAAGUUAAGAGAAAUAAAAAUGAGAGUCUUAUCGGUGAAAACCCUCACAGGCACCAUAAGGCGAUGGUAAAUUGAGAAAAAUAAAAAUGAAAGAGUCUUAUUGGUGAAAACCCUCACGGGCACCGUAAGACGAUGGUAAGUUGAGAGAGAUAAAAAUGAGAGAGUCUUAUAGGUGAAAACUCUCACGGGUACCGUAAGAUGAUUAUGAGUCAAGGAAAACAAAGAUAAGAGAGUCUCAUUAGUGGAAAACCCUUACAGACACCAUAAGGCAAUGGUGAGCUAAGGAAAAAAAUAAGAGAAGCUUGUUGGCGAAAACCCUUCAAGGCACCACUAGCCCAAUGGAACCUUAAAUGCAAUUAACCUAAGGAAGCAACUCAGUUUUAAGGCCAUUAACUCAACAACAAUGGGUAGAAAGUUUGGAUGAAAAGAUCAAGCUACUUAAUCCAAAAUGAAUGGCAUAAUCAUUAGUGUUGACUAUCAUUUUUAGAUGAAUUUUUCAUUUUUUUAUUUUAAAAGGGGACAUUCAUUGUCUUUUCUUUCUACUCUUUUUUUUUAAUCUUUCUUGAGUCAAUUAUCCAAAUAAAAAUUGUCAUUCUUUUUUUCAUUUCUUGUCUUUGAGUCAAGUCCAUGUCAAAACAAGUGAGAAAAAAUUUCAAAACUGGCUACCAACUUCUUUAAUUGCACAAAGCAAGACAAAGUCCAACACAUGAAAGAGACAUGAUUGUGAGCCGAAAUAAGGCAUGCAAAAAUUUUAUCCAGCAGACAAGUCUGGGAACUCAUGGAAAUACCAAGGUUCAAAGGGUUUAUCUGAGGAGUAUGACAAAGUAAAGAUACUGUGUUUGUUUCAAAGUCACUCUUAAUCAUCUGAGUUUAAGUCAAUGAAGCAGCAAGUUAAUGGUAUAUGCUAAGGGUUGGAAGCGAGGUUAAAUGUGACAAGGGCAAGAGUGAUCGCCGCGAAAGCUAAAGCCACAAAACAACCACCAUGUUUUAAACUCACAAGUUUUCUUUGAUGAAACAGGUAACAUAUUACAUUCAAAGCAAGGACUUCAAAGCAUAAACAUCAAGGGUUUCAAUGCCUUACUUUUACAAAUGCAGGAAGCAAUGUUGCUACAUAGGUUUGAUAAUCAAUUCAUGGUAAAAUUCACAUCCUAUAUCCCUCAGAGAUACACUUUCUUGUCCAGGGAUUUCAGUUUUCAUUUGCUAGGUGAUACACUUCUUAAAUUGAACCUUCACUCCUAGAAGACGUACCUUUUAGUCGAGUUAUUCCCUUUGAUUCCUAUAAGACGUACCUUUUAGUCGAGUCAUUCCCUUUGAUUCCUAGAAGACGUACCUUUUAGUCGAGUCAUCCUCUUUGAUUCCUAUAAGACGUAUCUUUUAGUCGAGUCAUUCCCCUUGACCCCUAGAAGACGUACCUUUUAGUCGAGUCAUUCUUUUUGAUUCCUAGAAGACGUACCCUUUAGUCGAGUCAUUCCCCUUGACCCCUAGAAGACGUACCUUUUAGUCAAGUCAUUCCCUUUGAUUCCUAAAAGACGUACCUUUUAGUCGAGUCAUCCUCUUUGAUUCCUAUAAGACGUAACUUUUAGUCGAAUCAUUUCCUUUGAUUCCUAUAAGACUUACCUUUUAGUUGAGUCAUUCCCUUUGAUUCCUAUAAGACUUACCUUUUAGUUGAGUCAUUCCCUUUGAUUCCUAUAAGACGUACCUUUUAAUCGAGUCAUUCCCCUUGACCCCUAGAAGACGUACCUUUUAGUCGAGUCAUUCCCUGUGAUUCCUAUAAUAUGUAUCUUUUAGUCGAGUCAUUCCCCUUGACCCCUAGAAGACGUACCUUUUAGUCGAGGCAUUUCCUUUAUUCCUAUAAGACGUAUCUUUUAGUCGAGUUAUUUUCUUUGAUUUCAUAAGAUGUACCUUUUAGUCGAGUCACAUCCUUUGAUUCUUAUAAGACAUUCCUUUUAGUCGAAUCAUUUCAAUUAACUCAUAAAAGAUGCAUUUCUUUGUGUGGGAUAAUUUUUUUUUUUAUUUUGAUGUGAUUUCAGGAGCCCGUCUGAAGAACAGGGUGAAUACAUGGAAAUUCAAGCAACAAGGUGAAGCAGUUGAAAAACAAGUAAAAAGAGGAAGAAAAUUGAAAGUCGACAGUUGAAAAAUGGCAAGUCAGGAAUCCGCCUAAAGAACAGGGUGAAAAAAUUGAAAGGCAAGAAACAAGUUGAAUAAAAUGCAAGUCAGGAGCCCGCUGAAGAACAGGGUGAUGAAGUAGUGAGAUAGGAGUCAAUAAAAGAUGCACAUAUAGAGUUUUUGUAAUUUCAUUUAUAUUUUUAACUCGUAAUUUUCAUUUUUGAUGUAAUGACAGAGCCGCGGACUGAAACCUCAAAGGGGCCUCACUCGACUCUCCAACUCGAUUGUCCUUCUUCCUUCUAUUUCUUUCUUUGAAUAAUAGUCGGGACAAAAUUUUAUCUCGUUGUCUAUUUCUUGGUCUGAAAACACUUCGUGUUUACAUUCAAAGGGGGCAUGAUGUAGACACCUAAUUUUGUCCCUCCUAAAACCCAAUUCAUCCAUUUUUACCUCACUUUAUCAUACACCCUCACCCAUGUAAUUAUAUCCCACAAAAAUACAAAAAAUAACAACCCAUAAUAAAUUCACUAACAAAUUUUAUCUUGUUUUAAUCUAUUCUAACAAAUCUUAUCCUAACCAACUCACCCUACCCCACCUACCCUAUACACUACCCCCCACUACCCCAUUCACGUGACUCCUCAUAUUUCUUCUUCACAAAGAAAGAGAACAAUACAAAAAGGAGGGGACCCACACAUAUCACAGGACCAUCAACACAAAACACCCAAUUCAGGGGGAAAAUAGACCCACUUCCAUUUUUUCAUUCUUCAAGCAUAAUCACUCUCUAUUUUUUUUCUUUCUUUGACUCUCACAGGAAACACACAUACACGCAAUUGAUACACUAUCACACAUACACCGUACACACACACACUCACCUUACUACACGUACCACACCAAGUAAUUAGAGAGAGGGGGAUCAAAAAGAGACGAGACUGAGAAAAAAAUAGAAAUUGAAACAGAGAGGGAAGAGAGGUUGAGUGAAUCGAAGCAAAACAAGUGAAAAAGAGAGAAAAAGAGAUCAAUUUUGAGUUUUUUCCGGUGAGAUUUUUACCGAAAUUGGCAACGGUUCUUCAAGUCCACCUCCGCCGUGCCGAAAGCCCAAAAAUCUCAUUGGAUUUCGUCGAGUUUCCAAGAAAUACUCGCUGGAAACAGGUGAACAGCAGUAGUGUCACCAGUUCUCCAUCCGAAAUUGAUUCCUAAACAAGUCAACGUUUGUACUGUAUUUGGAUUUGGGUCAGUCGAUUCGUCUUGGUCUAUUUUGGGUUGCAUUUCUCAAAUACCGAGUUGGAAUUUGGUUCGUAAUCAAGGUAUUCUGUUCGGGAUUACAAGUUCGGGAUUUCUUAAACAUUAUUAUCAACGUAUUGAAAGGUCCAACUCUAUCUCUUCUCAUUUUAUUUCACUACACAUGUUUGAUUUACGUGAGACGUGAUUGAAUAUUGGGUGAUAUUGAUUUGUUGCUUAAAUUAGUUGAAAAGUGAUUGUGGAUUGUUGAAAUUAUAAAUCGUGAAUUGCGGAAAUUUGGUGUUAAAAGAAAAUUUGGGACAGAAUUGAGAAAUUGAUAAAAAUGGGUGAAUACAGAUCAAUUUUGGUUUAUUGUUGUUUUUUUUAACUCGGAAUAAGCAUAAAUAUUGUUGGAACAAGAUAGAAUUUUGAUAUGUCGAAACGAAUAAGCAAACGUAGGUUCGGGUAGGCAAAAUUUAAGAAUAAGUGUUUUCUUGUUGAAGGUUUUAACGUGGAAUUUGUGUUGAAUGGUUUGGUUUUAGUUCUUGAAUUUGAAAAUGUAUUCAUUUAACCAAGGAAUGCCUUGAGAGAUUUGUAUUGAUUUAUCCGGAGAAUGUCCCGCUGUAUUAUGUAUGCAAAGGAGAUUCAUGAUGAAGGCCCGAGGCAUCGGGUAAAGCAUUGGAGCGUAGUUUAGGAUUAGUGUAGGUUUACAUUUAUGCAUUUUUCUAUUUUUUGGGAUUGUAUAAUUGAACUGGACAUUAUAUUUUUUGAAAUUUGUUUGAUUGUUGUUUGUUUUGAUUGUUUUUGUGUGGUUUAUACAUUUUGUAGUGUCAAAUUAGCCUAUAUGCUCCACUAAGUGGCUGUGGUCAAACCACGGUACUGAGGGGUGCCUAACACCUUCCCCUCGGUCAAUAGAAUUCCUUAGCCGAAAUAUCUGUUCGCAAACCAGUUUAAAGAGUCAAAUUAUUUUGAAAAGGAUCUUUCAAAGGUAGCUUGGCACACCGGAUCAUGUCAAGUGGGGACUCUGAGUUUAAAUGUAAAAAGUCCCUUUUUGAACCAAAUUUUUAUCUUUUGUCACUUUGAUAAUAAAACCCUUUCGAAACUUAAAUUAUAAUCUUUUUGGAGUUAAAAGGGGGUGUGACACUCGUUGGCGAAAACCCUUCAAGGCGCCACUAGACGAAUGAGGUCUUAAAUGUAAUUGACCUAGAGAAGCAAGUCAGUUCCAAGAAAAUUAACUCAACAACAAUUGAUAGAAAAUGUGGAUGGAAAGAUCAGGCAGAUUAAUCCAAGAUGCAUGGCAUAAUCAUUAGAGUUGACUGUUUUCUUAGAUAAUUUUUCGUUUCUUUGUUUCAAGUGGGGAUGUUCAUUGUCUUUUCUUUCUUCUUUGUGUUUUUAUUUUCUUGAGUCAUUUAUCCAAGUAAAAAAAAACAAAUCAUUGUCAUUUUUUCUCUUGUCUUUGGGUCAAGUCCAUGUCAAAACAAGUGAAAAAAGAUUUCAAAACUGGCUACCAGUUUCUUCAAUUGCACAAAGAAAGACAAAAGGCCAGCACAUGAAAGGGACAUGAUUGUGAGCUGAAAUAAGACAUGCAAAAAUUUUGUCAAUAGAAAAGUCUGUAAACUCAUGAAAAUACCAAGGUUUAAAGUGUUUAUCUGAGAAGCAUGGCAAAAUAGAGAUACUGUGUUUAUUUCAGAGUUGCUCUUAAUAAUCUGAGUUGGGAUCAAUGACGUGAUAAAGCAGGGCAAGUGCUAGCAAUCUGAAACAAAAUGAAAGGAAUGAACACUAGAGCAGGUGUCGGGACAGCCAAAUGCUGUAAGCUACCAAUAAGUUCUUAAGUGACAAAUUUUCUUUGUUGAAACAAGGGAAAAUUCGCUUCACUUAAUUCAGCAAUUAUUGGAAAAUCACAUCCGUGGAAAUUUAUUUUAUGUUCAGAACCCUCCUGAAAAAUGAAAAUUUACUUAUGUUCAGGGCCCUACUGAAAAAUGAGAAUUUACUUUAUGUUCAGGACCCUCCUGAAAAAUAAAAAUUUAUUUUAUAUUUAGGACCCUUCUGAAAAAUGAGAAUUUACUUUAUAUUCAGGACCCUCCUGGAAAAUGGGAAUUUACUUAUGUUCAGGGCCCUCCUGAAAAAUGGAAAUUAACUUUAUGUUCAGGAUCCUCCUAGAAAAUGGGAAUUUACUUUAUGUUCAUGACCCUCUUGGAAAAUGAGAAAUUUACUUAUGUUCAGGACCCUCCUAAAAAAUGAAAAUUUACUUUAUGUUCAGAACCCUCCUGAAAAAUGGGAAUUUACUUAUGUUCAGGACCCUCCUGGAAAAUAAAAUUUAGUUUAUGUUCAGGACCCUCCUGAAAAAUGGAAAUUUGCUUUAUGUUCAGGACCCUCUUGGAAAAUGAGAAUUUACUUUAUGUUCAGGACCCUCAUGAAAAAAGGGGCAUAACUUUCAGAAAAAAAAUCAUUCUUUAGUAUAACAUUUGUUUAGGAUAAUUUUUUUUCUUGCUUUGAUGUGGUUUCAGGAAUCCGCCUGAAGAACAGGGUGAUAAAAUUACAAGUCAGGAGCCCGCUUGAAGAAUAGGGUGAUGAUAUUAAAAGUCGGGAUCUCAUCCGGAGAAUAGAAUGAGAGAAUUACAAGUCAGGAGCCCGCCUGAAGAACAAGGUGAUAAAAUUGAAAGUCGGGAGCUCGCCCGAAGUACAAAGUGAUGAAAUUACAAGUCAGGAGCCCGUCUGAAAAAUAAGAUGAUGAAAUUAAAAGUCGGGAGCUCGCCCAAAGAACAGAGUGAUGAAAUUAAAAGUAAGGAACCCGCCUAAAGAACAGGGUGAUAAAAUUACAAGUUAAGAGCCCGCCUGAAGAACAGGGUGAUGAAAUUGAAAGUCGGGAGCUCGCCCGGAGAACAGAGUAAGAGAAUUAUAAGUUAGGAAAGAAUAGGGUGAUGAAAUUGAAAGUCGAGAGCUCACCUGAAGAACAGAAUGAUGAAAUUUUAAGUCAGGAGCCCGCCUGAAGAACAGGAUGAUGAAAUUAAAAGUCGGGAGCUCACCUGAAGAACAGAGUGAUGAAAUUACAAGUCAGGAGCCCGCCUGAAGAACAGGGUGAUGAAAUUGAAAUUUGGGAGCUCGCCUGAAGUACAAAGUGAUGAAAUUGAAAUUCAGGAACCCGCCUGAAGAAUAGGAUGAUAAAAUUACAAGUCAGGAGCCCGCCUGAAGAACAGGGUGAUGUAAUUGAAAGCUGAGAGUUCACCCAGAGAACAAAGUGAGAGAAUUAUAAGUCAGGAGCACGCCUGAAGAAUGGGGUGAUGAAAUUGAAAGUUGAAAGCUCGUCCGAAGAAUAGAGUGAUGAAAUUGCAAGUCAGGAGCCCACCUGAAGAACAGGGUGAUGAAAUUAAAAGUCGGAAUCUCACCUGAAGAACAAAGUGAUGAAAUUGAAAGUCAGGAACCUGCCUAAAGAACAGGAUAGUAAAAUUACAAGUAAGGAUCCCGCCUGAAGAAUCGGGUGAUGAAAUUAAAAGUCGAGAGCUCUCCCGAAAAACAGAGUGAGAGAAUUACAAGUCAGGAACUCGCCUGAAAAAUAGGGUGAUAAAAUUGAAAGUCGGGAGCUCUCCUGAAGAACAGACUGAUGAAAUUGCAAGUCAAGAGCCCGCCUGAAGAACAGGGUGAUGAAAUUGAAAGUCGGGAGCUCGCCCGAAGAACAGAGUGAUAAAAUGGCAAGUCAGGAUCCCACCUGAAGAAUAAAGUGAUGAAAUUAAAAGUUGGGAGCUUGCACGAAGAACAGAGUAAUGAAAUUGCAAGUCAAGAGCUCACCUAGAGAACAUAGUGAUGAAAUUAAAAGUCAAGAGUCCGCCUGAAGAACAGGGUGAAGAAAUUGAAAGUCAACAGAUUGAUAAAAUAGCAAGUCAGGAGCCCGCCUGAAGAACAGGGUGGUGAAAUGCCAAGUCAGGAGCCCGCCAGAAGAACAGGGUGAUGAAAUUGAAAGUCAAGCAAUAAGGUGUAAAAUUGAAAGUCAACAAAUUGAAAAAUAACAAGUCAGGAGUUCAUCUGGAGAAUAGAGUGAAGAAAUUGAAAGUCAAGCAACAAGGUGAUGAAAUUGCAAAUCAGGAGUCCGCCUGAAGAACAGGGUGAUGAAACUCAAGUCAAGAGUCCAAAAAAAGAUGCGUAGAUAGGAUUUUUGUAAUUUUAUUUAUGUUUUAACUUGUAAUUUUUAUUUUGAUGUAAUGAUAGAUCCGCUGACCGAAACUUUGAUAGGGCCUCACUCGACUCUCCAACUCGGUACAGUCCCUCUCUUUCCAACCCUUUAAGAUACUGGUGAAUUGAUUCCCUCAUAACUUGGGUAGGUAGGAUGUCCUAUGUCAAGACUUGGUUUCCCUCCUUCCUUUUGUUUCAUUCUUUUUGAAUAAUGGUCGGGAUAAAAUUUUAUCUCAUUUUCUACUUCUUUGUCUGAAAACACUUCGUGUUUACAUUCAAAAGGGGCAUGCUGUAGACACCUAAUUUUGUCCCUCCUAAAGUUGAAUUUUAUUCAUUUUUAGUUCAUAUUGCCACGUACCCUCACCCAUUAUAUACUUUCCCCAUAAGAAAAUAAAUACAACAAAUCCUAACAAAUAAAAACCCCAAUCCCAAAAUAUCCCCUUAUCCUAACAAACUUUAUCCCAACCACCUCACUACCCUACCUCACCUACCUUACCCCACCUACGGUACCCCACUACCCCACCCUAAUCUCAUAAUACACAUAUAUGGGUAUAGGGGGAAAGAUAUCAACACAGCAACAAAAUAAAUGGAGAAGACCACCAGUAUAUUCACCACUAAUAGAAUACACACACACUGAAAUUCACUCUCAAUACACCAUACACACAAACACCUCACAGGAUAUACACCACUCCUCCAUCGUCACUGCUACACACACACAUACUAACAUACUCAUAUACACACACAAAAAGAAACUGAGAGAGAAAUUAGAUGCGAGAGAGGAACGGAAUAGAAGAGCAAGUCGAAACUUGGAAAAAUCAGUGAGGGAAGGAGAAAAAAUAGUGAAUAUUGGAGUUUGAUUUAGAAUAGAAAUGGCGUGAGAGAAGAAAGAGAUGAACGGAGGGGUAGAUUGGGAAUAGGAAGUCAAAAAUGAAGAGUUGAGAGAGAAGCAAAUCACUGUGUUUAUCACUGUUUCGGCGACGAGUUCACUGAAAACACCACGACUAUUGGAAGCUUGUCCCAUUUUCUCCGAUUUUCAUUACUCCCAGAGCUUGCUGGAGCUCCAGCGACACUACAAUAAUAAGCCCGCUCCGAAUCUGAUCGAAACCCCACCAAAAAAUAAUCCUCUCACCGGAGACGGGCUUUACCUCCACCAAAAUUCCAAAAAAUCUGAUCUCACACCAUUGUUGUUACUAUUCGGCGAUAGAAAUCCAUCGGGAAGCACUAAAAACCUAUAAAAAACGGAUGAGACAGGCCAGUCUCGAUACGAAUUCGGGUUUGGAUCUUCCGUUUCUUGGUGAUUUUGGUUCAAAUUGGUAAAAAUUAAAAAAAAAGGUUAGAUCGAAGCUGGACUUGUUCGUUCGUUGAGGUUCGGUUCGAGAUUUCAAUGACGGUCUUAGUCAAAAGGAGAAAUUUUAAUUGAAAAUGAUGUUAAGGUCUAUUUCAUAUUGGUUGUUGAUAUCGAUUGAUCGAAUAGGUGAAUUGAAUAAUUAAAAGAUUUGGGUUCAUUUGAGGUGGGGAUCAAAAAUUGAUAAAAGUGAUUAUCGCGGUGCUUUGAUUUGCUAUUAGUGUUUUAUUUGAAAUAAUCGUAAUUUUCUCGGAUUUGAUAGUAUCAUGAUAGGCUAAAAUGGAUAGGCAAAUGUGGGUUUGGGUAGGCAAAAUUAGGAAUAGUAUUUUGUUGAAUAUUUGAAUGUAGAGUGUGUGUUGAAUAUUUUCUAGUUUAUCGUACUUGACUCAAGUGUAUUCAUUUGGCCGGGGAAUGCCUCGAGGUUUUACGUAUAUAUUUAUCGGGGAAUGUUCCGACAUAUUAUGUCUUCGAAGAAGGUUCGUGAUCCAGGCCUGAGGCAUCGGGUAAGGCAUUGGAGCAUAGUUUUAGGAUUAGCUUAGUAUAGGAUUUAUAUUUUCGCAUUUUUUCUAUUUUUGAACUGUAUAAUUGGACUGGACACUAUAUUUUGGAUUUGUUUUGUUCUGUGUGUUUGAUUGAUUUUUUUUAAGUAUUUUUGUGUGGUUUAUACAUUCGUAAUGUCAAAUUAGCCGAUACGCUCCACCAAGCGACCGUGGUCGAACUACGGGAUUGAGGGGUGUCUAACACCUUCCUUUCGGUCAACAGAAUUCCUUAGCUGGAAUCUUUAUUCGCAAACUAGUUUAAAAGAGUCAAAUCAUUUUGAAAAGGAUUUUUCAAAGGUGACUUGGCACACCGGAUUAUGCCAAGUGGCGACUCUGAAUAAAAAAUGUAAAUAAUCCUUUUCGAAAGAAAUUUCAUCUUUUGUCACUUUGAUAAUUAAAAACCCUUUCAAACUUAAAAUCAAUAUUUUUGGUUAAGAAAGGGGUGUGACAGCGGCUAGCGAGUGUAAUACACGCACCAAAUCUCAUUUUUACACGUGUAUUGGCGCGUGUAAUAUACGCGCCAAACUCAUAUAUUUAUACGUGUCCAAGUGGGCAAAUAUAUGUCAUUAAAAUACGAAAAAAAAAAUUCUAAUGGGGUAAUACAAUCCCCACAAAAUUCAAUAUGCUCAACUGAAAAUUCCGUCAAAAUUCAGAUAUUUAAAUUGAGUGAAAUAUGUUGGCGGCCUCCAACCAAAUCACGGAUGCUCGUGGUUAUGAGAUUUGGCUUUUGUAACACUAAUUUUCUUUAGUUUACAAUAUUAUGUUUAUCUCUCUUAUUUUUAUUUUUCUUGUGACAAUUCUUUUGACGCGUGUUUAUCAUUACUUAAAAGAAAUUAUAAUCCUACUAAUCUGCCCUUUUAAUAUAUUUUUUAUUUAAUUUAUUAAUAAGCAUUUUAAAAAUAGUACCUCAUAUGAGCCCUUAUUGAGUAGUAUUAUUUAUAUUUUCAGUUUAAAAAUAAAUAUUUGUGGUAUUGAUGCAAAUAUUGCAAGUAUUUUUCCUGGAUACUCAGCUCCAAUAAUGUUUUGAGUCAUUAGCUUCCUUCGAGAUCAUUAGUGACAUUGACAUCAAAAUGAAAGAUCAGUCCUUAAUUACUAAUUAUAGUAUAUUUGCAAUUGUCCUAAUAAUUGAGUUGCAAGAUGAUUAGUGAAUUAUGUUAAUUGUGUAAUGAUAAGUGAUUUGAAUAUAUUUGUUGAGCAUUGCUUUGUUUAUGUGUUAUGGACAUUCCGCCAAACUCCCGAGCAAUGAAGUCUUGCGAUAAAUAAGGACCUAUAUCUUUCUAAACCAUUCUAUAGAUAGGUAAAUAUUGUUCAUAUCAUAUACUAAAACAAUCUAUAAUUCCUACAAGACCAAAUGAGAAUAAAUAGAAGCAGUAAACUAGAACAACUUCAAAUUUUGAUAUGUGUGGCGUAUGACGCACGAAAUAUAUGUAAGGCGCACGAAAUGCACGUAUAAAAUACAGAAUGCACAUACGGUAUGACACUAUUAUUAUAGGAGGAACCCAAUUGCAUAAUGAUUUGCAUGAAUGUUGUAUAUAUAUUUUUACACAAAUGCAUAAAAGGUGUAUAAAUAAAUAAUAUUUAUACAAGAAUUAUACUUAUUUAAAUAGAUAUUAUACAUUCACUGAAAAAUUUUAUGUUAGAUAUACCAAUUGUACAUGAAAUAUAACAAUCGUAUGAUAUCACUUAACAAUUCCGAAGAGCUUUUAUCCCCGAAAUACACAAUUAAAUUCAUUAAUUCUACAUGCAAAUAAAAUAAAAAGUAUCAUAAUAAAAAGAAAAUUAUACAUGGAAAUAGAGUUAUUACAAUAGAAAUAAGUCAUAAUACAUAAAUAUGAUCCUAAACUUGAUACCAAAUUAUAACAUUGUCUUUAAACUUUGAUAGUGCACAAAUAUGACCUUUAACUAUACAAAACCUGAACAAAUAAACACACCGAUCCUAUUUUGCAAAAAGCAUGUGUGCACGCAAAUAUGAGCGGGUCUGGCCUAGAAUUUGAGCAUCCCAACAAUAAAAAAAUAAUAAAAUGACUAUUAUGCCCUUACUAAUUCCUUUUUAUACGUUUAAAUGACUUUUUCGUAUUAUUAUUUUCAUUAUUUUCAGCUCAUUGAUGAAAAAUGGCAUCUAAUUUCUUUUGUCAUUGCGGAAAAAGAGCAAUAUUGAAGAUUUCUUAAUUAGGUGGGUCAGCCUCAUAUGAAAAAAUCACGCGGGUAUCUAUAUAUAUUAUAAAACAGAUGACAAAUUUAAGUUAUAUAAUAUAUCUAAAUAUAAUUUAUUUAAAUAUUAAAUUAAAGAUGAAACUAUACCACUAAUUAAAAAAAAUUAUAGUUUUAAUAAAACGUUAUCAAAACGUUAUUAAAAUAACGUUAUUAAUAAAAUGUUAUUAAGGGCGGUAGUGGUAUAUUAAAUUAACGUUAUUAAAAUAUUAUUAAUAAAAUGUUAUUAAGGACAGUAGUAGUAAUAUAUUAAAUUAACGUUAUUAAAACGUUAUUAAAUUAACGUUAUUAAGAUUAAAUUUUAUUAAAAUAUUAUAGUAUAUUAAAUUAACGUUAAUAAAACGUUAUUAAGAUGAAAAUGUUAUUAAAAUAUUAUGAUUAUUAAUAAUUAUUAUUAAUAUUAUUAUUAAUCGUAGUAGUAGUAGACUGAUAGAAACAAUAGUAGUACGUAAUAUGUAGAAGUAGUUGAAUAAUAAUAAUAAUAAUAAUAAUAAUAAUAAUAAUAAUAAUAAUAAUAAUAAUAAUAAUAAUAAUAAUAAUAAUAAUAAUAAUAAUAAUAAUAAUAAUAAUAAUAAUAAUAAUAAUAAUAAUAAUAAUAAUAAUAAUAAUAAUAAUAAUAAGUGUUUAUUUAUUCAGAUUUUGUAUAGUUAAAGGUUAUAUUUGUGCACUGUCUAAGUUCCAUGUCAGCCUUUUUAAUGAAGUGAAACCGUAUGACUGACUGAUUAAUUCACGUAGGCGCAAGUGAGAUACACAUGCCUAAGUUGCAAAAUAUGAAUGUUUAUUUGUUAAGAUUUUAUAUAGUUAAAGGUCAUAUUUGUGCACUGUCAGGGUUUAAGAUCAAUGUUAUAAUUUAAUUUCAAGUUUAGCAUCAUAUUUAUAUAUUAUAACUAAAAAUAAAGAAAAAUACAAAUGUCAUAAGCCAGAGGUGGCUAUUUAGUCACGGCGACAUUCAGGACAUGUCGCGUUUGCAGUCACCCAAGAAUAGAUGUCGUCAUCAUGAUAUACAUGACUACAUGGAAGGACUCGUACGUAUUUUGUCCGCAAAAUUUAUCGUCAGGUCCCUUAAUUUGACGUCAUCUUUCACUUAAGCAUCUCAAGUAAACAUUAUUUUUUUUUGACACCUUAAAUAGCGUACAAGUGUGUUACUUUGGCAUUUUUUACUGAGUUGAUAAGGUGCGUGUGUUAUACCUUCAUGAAGGCGGGUUACAACCCUUUUAUGGCUGAUGUGGCGCCCAAGUUGGUCCACCAACAAUAUAUUAAUUCACCUCUAUUAAUUUAUAUCUUUUUCUUCAUUUUAAUCCAUUAUUUUUGUCAAUCUUAAACUUAUUUAAUGGUAAAAAUUAUUGGGAGAUAUUUAAAAAUUAGAUACACAUUUAUGAGUUCGUCUUGUCAAAAACAGUAUAUUAAUUCAUUUCAUUAAUUUAUACUUCUUUCACAUUUUUAUCCAUCAUUUUUGUCAAUCUUAAAUUUAUUUGACGAUAAAAAUUUUGAGAGAAAUUUAUAUACGCAUUUAGGAAUUUAUGAAGAUAAGAAAAUCAAGCAAUAUCAAUGAAGAAAAGAUGACAAUUGAAUAAAAUUGAUGAAGAGAAAUUGAAAAAUAAAGCUAAAUAAAUGAAGAAAAAUUGAAAUCAAACAAAAUCAAUUAAAAAAAAAUUAAAUCGAAGCAUAAAAAUCAAAAAAAUCAGUGAAUAAAAUUAAAAAUCGAAGCAAAAUCAAUGAAAAAAGUUGAAAAAUAAAGCUAAAUCCAUGAAGAAAUAUUGAAAUCAAACAAAAUCAAUAACAAAAUUAAAAAUCAAACCAGAAUCGAUGAAGCAAAUCGAAAAAAAUGAAGCUAAAUUCAUGAAGAAAAUCCAAAAAUCAAGAAAAAUCAGUGAAGAAAAAUUUAAAAUUGAAGCAAAAUCGAUGAAAAAAUUAUAAAAUAAAGCUAAAUUCGUGAAGAAAAAUUGAAAUCAAACAAAAUCAAUUAAAAAAAAACUAAAAAUUGAAGCAAAAUAGAUGAAGCAAAUCUGAAAAAAGGAAGCUAAAUUCAUUAAGAAAAUCUAAAACCCAAGUAAAAUAAGUGAAGAAAAAAUAAAAAUUGAAGCAAAAUCGAUGAAAAAAAUUAGCGGGGUGGAUAGGGGGUGCAAGGUCUUUCAAGAAGAUAAAGAGGGGAAGAAGACUGGCGGGAUGGGGGUGGCGAGGUGAGUGGGAUGUUUGAUGAAAUCUGGCAGGGUGGAGGAGAGGUGGGGGAAGGGGUGUUUGAAGAAGAAGAAUGGUGGGAUGGGGUGGGGUGGGUGGGGUGGGGGUGGCGGGUGGGUGGGGUGUUUGAAGAAGAAGACUAGUGGGGUGGAUAGGUUGGGGGUAUUUUUUUAUUUAAUUUAAUUAUUUAUAAAUUACUUGGAUAAAAAUGAUACAAGUCCACAUUUUAUUCGUCAUUUUUCACCUCAUUGGAGAGUGUAGCACACGCACAUAAUAUUGUUUUACUGAUUCAAAAAAACGUGCCAAAGUGACACACUAAAAGGCCGCUUGAGGUGCCAAAAAGGAACAAUGUCCACUUGAGGUGUCAAGUGAAAGAUGACGCCAAGUUGAGGAGUUUGACGAUGGAUUUUACCUAUUCUGUCCAUUCGAAUUCGCUCAAACAAAUUAAACGUGACACGUACCAUCCGUAAAGUUAAUGUCCUUUUGUACUGAAUAUGGCAUAAGAAGAAACAUAUUAACUAAACGUCUGGUACGUCUGGAGAGACAUCACGCCUAAACCUAAAACAUCACUCGCAAUAUAAUAUGACAAGUGCCACUAAAAUUAAGCUACCCCAAUCAAUCAAAACAAGGCAAAACUCAUACGCAGCCCCCUUAAGUAUGCAUCAUUUUUCACGUAGGCACCUCAAGUGGACAUUGUUUCAUUUUGGCACCUAAAGUAGGUAUAAAGUGUGUCACUUUGACACCUUUUGCUGAAUCAGCAAAUUUAUAUUGUGUGCGUACGCGCCUGAUGAUGUAGAAAGUGACAAAUAAUAUGCCGACACGUGUCAUUUUUCUAAAAACUAAGUUUUAAAUCAUUAAUUAAUUUUUUUUCAAAAAUAAUCACCCUUUUCCCCAAUAAUUAAUUUUAACCCCACCCACCCACCUGCCACCCCACAAGUCAAUUUUUAAUUUUUUUUAAUUGAUUUUAUUUGAUUUUAAUUUUUCUUCAUGGAUUUAGCUUUAUUUUUAAUUUCUUUCAUCAAUUUUGCUUUGAUUUUUAAUUUUUUUUCAUUGAUUUUUCUUGUUUUUUAUGCUUCGAUUUUAAUUUUUUAAUAUUGAUUUUGUUUGAAUUCAAUUUUUCUUCACUGAUUUAGCUUUAUUUCUUAAGCAUUCUUAUUUCUUAUAAUUAAGCAUUCUUAUUUCUUGAUUUAAUCAUUCUUGUUUUUUGAUUUCGUCUUUCAUAAAAGAAGCAAGAUUCUUGAUUUGACCAUUUUAGCAUAAGGAUGUAUUAAGGAAAAAAAUGGUGCUAAGUUAAUGGAUUGAAGAAGAAGAAGAAGAAGAGUGAAGAAAAAUAAAAAUUAUGAAAAUGCCACCCAAACGUGCCUUCAAUGCGUGUGUCACACGCACCUUGCUAACUCAGCAAAAAGGGUCAAAGUGACACACUUGAAGGCCACUUGAGGUGUCAAAAUAGAACAAUAUCCACUUGAGGUGCCUAAGUGAAAGAUGGUGCGUAUUUGAGGGACCUACGUAUGUGUUCUGCCUAGAAACAAAUUACGCUUAAGAUCAUUUUGCCAUUCUUUUUUUUGUAACAACACAAUCAAUGCAACAUCGAACUGAGAAAACUUUUUUGAGCAAAAAAAAAAAAGAAAAAAAAAAGACAGGAAGAAAUAAAGUAUGGAAACCUCAUUUUUUUGUAAAAUAUACUCUAUAUUUUUAAUUUAUUUUUUUUGAUGUAUUGUUAACUUUGAAGAGAAAUUUUGGGGAAAAAAUAAAAUAAUUUUUUAGGCCACGUUCAAUAGUUACUAAAAGUAAAAUUAAUCGUUUAGAUUUUUUUCUUUAAAAAUAUUAAAUUAAGGUUGAAGGUAAUUCACAAUGAUAAUAUUAUCACACACAUGUUUAAGGAUAAUGUUUAUGUGAUUCUAAAUAUUUUUACUAAUUGAGAAUGGGAUGCAUGUAUGACGUAUGAAAGGCACAUAAAAUAUAUAUACGUCACGCGAGAUCCACGUAUGGCAUACAACUUAUCAGCCUCCUAUUAAAAUUUGAUGUUAAGCCACCAAAUUCAUUUAGCUUCCGCUGACCUUGAAAGGUCACUAUUUUAAUCUCGUGUCAUGACAUAGCUUAAUUCCUGAGAUAGCUUGAUUUGUUGUAGCUAAAAAAAAAAAUCUUAUCUAACUUUUCAGUUCUUUUGACUUGAAAGGUCCAACUUCUUGUGUUAUUUGAAUUUAGCUUUACUUUGGCUUUCUAGAAUGUGACAAAAAAAUAUCCCUGUAAUGGCAAUUUGUUGAAACAAUCUUAGGAGGAUAAUGUGUAGUGUAUGUUUGUUUUUUGUCAUAAAAUGUAGGUAAAUCAUUUCGUUUCUAAACUAGAGAAUUAAAAUAGAUAUUUAUAGUUAGUAAAUAAUAAACAAAUAAAGAUAAAGGGAGGAAGUAAUGAAUAUUUGCUUUGAAAAUCGAAUAUUGAAAAAUGAAAAGAAGCUCAAUCUUCAAAUGUUCUCGUGGUUUUUUCCAUUUAUGUAAAUACAAGUCAAUAAAAUAAUCGUGUUAAAACCACGAAGCUCGAUAGAUACUUCACACCUUCCCUCGGUCAACAUAAUUUCUUAAUUAAAAUUUGUGUCACAAACUACUUUCGAGGUAAACAUAUUUCUUAAUCGAAAUCUCCAUCGCAAACUGAUUUUUGAAGUCAAAUGCAUAUUGUAAAGGGAUCUUUAUUUUUCAAAGAGAGACUUAAUACAUCAAAACUCGAUGCCAAGUUACAAUUUUGUUACUUUAUGUGCAAUCAUUAUCAUUGAGUCGUGUUAGUCUUAUCUAUUUGUUUUUAGUCUGACCUAUUUGCACGCCUUAUUAUUUCUUCUUUUAUUGAGUAGUGACUGUGGUGGUUGACGGUAGACUAGGGUCAUGUCAUAGGUCGGGAUUGGGGUCAAGAUCAGGGUCAAGGGUGAGGUCGGGGUCUGGGUCUGGUGUGGGGGUAAGGUUGGGUUCAGGGUUGGGGUAAGGGAUAGUAGGGUUAAGUGGGAUGAGAGAGCCUUUAGGUUGAGAAUUGGCUCUUGGAACAUAGGGACCACAGAGCUUGUGAAGAUUCUUAGGAGGAGGAAGAUUAGUAUAGCUUGUGUUUAGGAUACCAAAUGGGUAGGUUCUAAGGCGUGGAAUAUGGACGGGUAUAUUUUGUGGCACUCUGAUAGCGUGAGGAAUAGGAAUAGGGUUGACAUCUUAGUAGAUGAAGAGCUUAGGAGGCAGGUGGUAGAGGUUAAGUGGAUUGGCGCUAGGUUGAUGUCGAUUAAAUUGGUCAUUAAAAGAUCUAUAUUGAAUAUUAUUAGUGCCUACACUUCACAAGCGGACUUGGACAAGGAGGAGAAAAGGAAUUUUUGAGAGGUUUUGGAUGAGGUAGUGCGAGAUGUACCGAGCACUGAGAAGUUUUUCAUAGGAGGGGAUUUCAAUGGGUAUAUUGAGUCUUUAUCGAAAGGUUAUUAUGAUAUGUAUAAAGGUUUCAGUUUCAGGAAAAAGAACGAAGGAGGAGCUUCACUUCUGAAUUUUGCUAAGGUCUUUGGGUUGUAGGUAGUGAAUUCGAGCUUUACGAAGAAGGAGGAGCACCUUUUUACCAUUCAUAGUUCAGUGGUCAAGACUUAGAUAGACUUUUUGCUCCUUAGGAAGGGAGAUAAAAUGCUAUGUAAAGAUUGUAAAGUCAUACCUAACGAGAAUCUAUCGACCCAACAUAAACUCCUGGUGAUGGACUUGGUAAUGUAUUGUAAUGUAUAUAUAUUGUAGUAUAUUUUAUUUAAAGUAGUACAUAUAUAUUGAAUGGUGCAUAUAUGUGUGUAUAUAUCUUCUAUAGACGUGUAUAUUUAACUUAUACAUGUGUAUAUGUUUUAUAAAUUAGUAUAUAACUAUAUAUAACUAUAUAUAUAUAUAUUGUAAUGUAUAUAUAUUGUAGUAUAUUUUAUUUAAAGUUGUACAUAUACAUUGAAUGAUGUGUAUAUGUGUGUGUAUAUCUUCUAUAGACGUGUAUAUUUCAUGUAUACAUGUGUAUACAUUUUAUAAAUUAGUAUAUAACUAUAAUUAUAUAUAUAUAUAUAUUGUAAUGUGUAUAUAUUGUAGUAUAUUUUAUUUAAACUUUAAAGUAGCAAUAUACAUUGAAUGGUGUGUAUAUAUGUGUAAUUGUGUAUAUGUGUAUAUAUUUUUUAAAUUCUAAUGUAGUAUAUACUAUAUACAUAGUGUAUAUAUUGUUUAACGUAUUUAAAAUAUUUAUAGGUGGGUAUAUCUAGUGUAUAUUAAAAAAAAAAUUAUUUUUAUUUUGACCGAGUUUGACUGGAUUUUUAAUCGGGUUUGAUCAGGUUGGGUUAAGUGGGCCGGGUUAGGGUUGUUUUUAAAAAGUUUACUGUUGACCUCAGCCCAGCCCGGCCCACAACCCGAAUAAUUUAAACGGGCUAGUUCUGGGCUAACCCGGCCCGGCCCACUUAACACCCUUAGGAUUAAGUCAGAUAGCUUGAAUUUGGCUAGUACAUUGGAGAUUGAGGAGAAGUUGACGAUAAUGGAGGCGUGGGAGAGUAGUGGGGAUGUGGAUAGUAUAUCAGAGACGACUGACAAUUGCAUUAGGAAGACAACUAGAGAGGUGUUGAGUGUCUUAAGAGGCUGAUCUAACAAGCACGGAAGGGACAGAUGGUGGAAUGAAGAAGUCAAACAGAAGGUGGAGACUAAGAAGAUGGCUUAUGCAAAGUUGGUGGAGAGCAAGGACGACGAGUAGAAAUGGAGAAAUUGGGAGGAGUAUAAGUUAGCUAGGAGAGAGGCUAAGUUAGCAGUUACAGUGGCUAAAAUAGUAGAUUUUGAGAGCUUGUAUGUGACUUUAGAGGAGAAAAAUGAAGAUAAAAAGUUGUAUAAGCUGUCAAGGCUAGAGAGCGGUGGGUCCGCAACCUUGACCAGGUAAAGUGCAUUAAGAUGGAGGAUGGAAAAGUGUUGGUGGAGGAUACCUAUAUUCGGAGGCAUUAGAAAUCCUAUUUUCAUGAACUUUUGAAUGAUGAGGGGGACAAAAGUUUUGUGUUGGAGGACUUGGAGCAUUCAGAGAGGUGUCACAAUUACAAUUAUUGUAGGUGUAUUGAUGACGUCCAAACAACACCUCCUAUCUAAUGAUGAUACAAUUGCUGUCAAAAUAUAGUAACCCAACGUGAUUUGCAAAUCUCGGCAGUUGUAGUCAAUGGGCAGAACAAGAAAAGUAAAUUGGGGAAGGGUUUGGAUGGCAGAAUUAAACAAAGAGCAAGUAUCAACUUCGGUUGUGAUCAGUAGUGGUGAACACUAGGAUUGUUUCCUCUGGCUUCUCAACUUCGUAGGCUUACCAAGAUAUGUUGAACCAUACCUUACAUGCAGAAUUGAUAAGUUAUGUACCUUCUACAGUCUUUAGGAAGAGUAGAAGGAUCUUACCCUUUACCUUUUGAGUCUCAGGAUGUCGCCUUACUAAUCCUUAUCUUGAUCUCAGCUAACUAUUACCUUUUGAGUCUCUAGUUAUUAAAUAAAAGUUACCGGUCAUUCACUAUAUUCCAUGGUUAGCAUGGAAAGAUAAUUAACUUCAAAUUACUGUUGUUUUUAUCUUUUCCUAGUCACUACUCCUCUUUUGGAGUAAGUAGCUAUAAUCUAGGUAGGAUCUUAACGUUGGCCACCGCUAAGAAAUCUAUUAUAGUGAAGAUAAAGCAAUGCAUACCAUGGGUAUUGGGUCAGAUCAACAAUUGCGCUUCCCCUACUUCGCCAAUCCAUCAGGGUUUCCACAACCCUAGCUAUGGAUUUUAGCCGCUUAUGAUUGUGAAGAAAUCAACAACAUUCAUAGUUGAAAGCAUAGAUGAAAUCACAAUAAGAAGAAGUGUAAAAGCCCACAACCGUAACUGAAUUAAUCAACUGAAGUCAAUAUAAGAUAAUCCCAAGAUUAAAAUCAUAUCUUGGAAUCAAAAUAUGUUUGUGAAUAUCAAAAGUAUGUAACUCUGACUAAAAAAUACAUAAAGGGUAUUUAUAGUACAUGAGGAAACCCUAAAACCAAAGCCCGAAUGAAAUAGGAGAAAAUUGAGUUGGUGGCCACCUGCUCUCUGUACCCGUGGUUUGACACAAGGUGCAUGUAGUACCUGUGGUCAUCACACAGGGCACAGGUUCAAGCCAUUGGUGCAACUCCCGCAGCCUAGCUCUCGGGAUUUCGACCUCUGGCACCUUCUUUGUCCACCUGCGGUCUGUAAGUCCUACAUGCAGUCCGUAUGUUUCCUUGAUAGGUGCCAGGAGUCAUAUUUUCAGCUUUUUUUCACUUCUUGAACAUGAUUUGAUCACGAACAAUCUAGAAAAUAUCCCAAAUAUGCUCCAAAAACUGGCCAAAAAUACCCUUUUUCACGAACUUAGCAUCUGAAAUAUGAUUUUCUGCAAAACAUACCCAAAACGGAUUAUAUAUAACAAAAUAACCUCAAAAGCCUGCAUAUUUUCCUAAUUUUAAUCGUUAAAAGUGUCAUAUUUCUAUAGCACAUUAAUACCCUCAACUUAGAAUGAUUGCAUGUCCUCCAGCAAUAAAAUACAAUAAAACAAAAACGACGCUUAACUAGGAAAAACUAAGUUAUUCGAGGCACGCAAUCAAUACUUAAAUCUCAAAACACAACACUUUGUCCAAUCUCACCUUUCAAAACCAACUUUGUAUGAACAUGAAGCACAACAAUGUGACAUAAUAGGAUCAAGGUAUGACAAUUACAUUAGCAACAGGAAACCACUCAUAUAUACAAAUUACACUAUCCAAACAAGCAAAUAGUUGGCAAUAUGAGUCAAGUUCCCUCACAACAAGGAUGCCUCACUCACUAAUAUGAAAUCAUGCAUGUUAAUGCAGGGACAGUCAAGAGACACUCGCACUCAGAAGAGAAUUUCCAAUCAAUGCAUGUCAAAUAUCAUAUGUUUGCCCUUAUUUUUCUUACCUUAGCAUUCAGAUAGUCACGUUAGGAUCACUAUAGGACUUUUCUCAGCUUGUAAUGUAGGCUUAAGCCUCUUUGGCACUACACCAACCUUGGGGUCUCACUUAUUAACCCAUUUUCGUUUAUUUUCGCCCUUAUUUCUCUCUUUUAUUGCACAUUCAGGUUGGGUGUGGUCUUUGAUUCUUUCUUUUUCUCUUUUCACAUUUUUUCUUUUCUUUUUCUUUUUCUUUUUCUUUUUCUUUUCCUUUUCCUUUUCCUUUUCCUUUUCCUUUUCCUUUUCCUUUUCCUUUUCCUUUUUUUUCUUUUUCUUUUUCUUUCUACCACACCCAACCCUACUAACUUUUUCUCUUAUUUUACCUUUUUUCAUACUCAUUUUACGCUACACACCUCUAUGAUAGCCACCAUCAACUUAAGCAUUUUGCCUGAGUUGAGGUGCACAAUUUCCAAGGAGGAACAAGGUCAAAAUAGGUUCAUUGUAAGAUAAAUGGGAAGGUAAAUGGUGAAACAAGAAAAAUAGGCAUUCAGGCUCAAAAUUGGGAUCAAGAGAUAUAAUUCACACAUGAAAGGUCAUGUAGGGCUAGGCUAAAACUGGACUAAUAUCAAAUACGGCCUAUGAUUCUUUCCUAACGGACUAUCCUUCAACCUAGGCAAGACUAACCUAGCAAGUUCUGAAUUCAACACACAAAGGAAACUGGUAAUAUCUUACUCGCACAUAGCACAGAGUCAACAUCACCGACUACUACUUAUCCAAUUUAUGCAAUUGUUAGCAAGUGAUUAUCAUGUUCCUAAUCUUAAUUUCAUAACAAGAUCCAUAAUAUUCACAAAUAUAUAAAUUCACACAGUUUUAAAACAUAAAUUUUUUUAAGGGGUAUUAGAAAUUAGUCAAAAACAUGAAAACUGCCCUCAUAACUUAAAAAUCUCCUAAUUUCCCACAAAACAUCAUGAAACAAAAUUCAAUACACCUAAAAAUGCUGGCUCUACUAGGAACAAGACUCCGAAAAAAAGAGGCACAGCAACAAAAAUCCUAAGAGGACAUCAAAACCCGCAAAUAAUCCAUCUCUCCCCCAACUUAAAAUCAUGCAUUGUCCCCAAUGCAUCAAACCUCUACAAAAUAAGAGUGUUAGAAACUUACCUGCGGCUCCAUAGGUGCGAAGAUUUGACAUCAAUCAUGAACACAAAUAUAAACAAUAAAAUACCUUGGGUUGCCUCCCAAAAAGUGCCUAAUUUACUAUCGCGGCACAACUCAGUUUUCAUGGCUACUCAGACUUCCGCAAGGUCCAUUUUAGCACAAACUCUUACUUCUUCUAGGUUUUCCAUGUAGUGUUUCACUUGCUUCCCGUUCACUUUAAAUAGGAAAUCACCAUCAUGCUUUACCUCAAUAGCACCAUAUGGGAAUACCUUAACCACAGUGAAUGGUCCAAUUCAGCUUGCCAGAAAACAAGCGUAGUCUUGAAUUGUACAACAAGACCAAAUUACUGGGUUUGAAUAUACUCUUCUCAAUCUUCUUGUCAUGGUACAACUUCAUUCUUUCUUUGUAUAUGGACGAGCUCUCAUAAGCAUGGAGUCGGAAUUCAUCCAACUCCUUCACCUUACUCAACCUCAAGUUUGUGGCAUAACGCUACUUAAAAUUUAGCAUUUUUACCACCUAUAGUGUCUUAUGCUCAAGAUCAACUGAUAAGUGGAAUGCUUUGACAUACAUAAGUUGAUAUAAAGAGGAAUUUAUGGGGGUCUUAUAGGCUAUUGGUAGGCCCACAAUGCAUUAUUUAACUUUCUAGACCAGUCAGUCCUGUUGGCAUUCACAGUCUUCACCAAUAUGGACUUUAUUUCUCUAUUGGAGACUUCCACUUGCCCACUCAUCUGAGAAUGGUAAGAUGUUGCCACCUUAUUUCUUACCCCAUAUCUAUCAAGUAGUGCUUUGAACAAGCGGUUGUAAAAGUAUUACCCACCAUUACUAUAAUAACACGUGGAGUGCCAAAUCUAAAAAAGAUGGUCCUCUUCAAAAAGAUAGUGACACUCUAACCUUCAUAGUCUUGAAGAGCAACCGCCUUCACCUACUUUGAUACAUAGUCAACUGCUACCAGAAUGUACCUCAUGCCAUAGGAACUUAAAAACAGGAAUAUGAAAUUAAUUUCCCACACGUUAAACAACUUUAACUCCAGAAUGGGUGUCAUGGGGAGUUCCCAGCACCAUGAAAUGUUGCCUUGAUGCUAGCACUGGUCACAGGCUUUUGAAAAAUCAUGAGUAUCCUUGUAAAUUAAAGGCCAGUAGAACCCACACUGUAGAAUUUUAUGGGUUAUGCAUGUGCCACUGUGGUGACCCCCAAUUGGCGAAUAAUGACAAGCUUUCAGAAUGCUCAUCAUCUCCAUCUCUGAAAUGCAUCUUUGAACCACACCAUCAACGUAAACCUUGAUCAAAUAUGACUCAUCCCAAAAGUAUUUCCUUACCCCGUGCAUAAAUCUCUGUCACUACUAGAAGGAUAGAUCUUCUGGGAUAAGGUUGUUUGCCAGAAAGUUGGCAAAAUCAGCAAACUAGGAAAUCAAAUCAUGAGAUAUUGACAAAACUUGCUCAUCAAGAAAAAUAUCAUCAAUCUUAAGAUUAUCCCCUAGGUUCUGUAUAGUCUCCUCCUCAAGUCUGGAUAAGUGGUAUGCAACUUUAUUUUUUUCCCAUUUUGAUCCUUAACUUUAAAAUCAAACUCUUGCAGCAAAACAACCCAACGAAUCAAUAUGGCUAUGGCAUUCUUCUUUUCCAUCAAGUACCUCAAGACUGCAUGGUCGGUGUGCACUAUAACCUUAGUCCCAAUCACAUAAGACAAAAAAUUUUCAAAAGCAAAAAUCACCGCAAGUAGCUCCUGCUCUGUAAUUGUACAAUUUUUUUGUGUGGGGUUUAAAGUUUUGCUAACUCACUAGAUGGGAUAAAGUAUCUUUUCUCUUCUUUGGCCAAGAACAACUCUCAAGGCCACUCCGCUCACAUCACACACUACCUUAAAAGAUGUAUACUAAUCAGGAGACACAAUGAUAGGUGCUGAAAUCUAUCGUCCUUUAGGCAUUUGAAAGUCUUUAGACAAUUAUCAUCGAACACAAAUUUCGCCUCCUUCUCUAAAAGCUUGCAAAGAGGACUUGUAAUUUUAGAGAAGCCCUUGAUGAACCUUUUAUGAAAACCUACCUGACCUAGAAAUCUUUAUAUGCCUCUAACUUAUAUUGACAACAAUAACUUCUCAAUCACCUCAAUCUUUGUUUUUUCCACCUCAAUACUAUGAAUAGAGAUAUUGUGCCCUAGAACUAUUUCUUAUUUCACCAUAAAGUGGCAUUUUUCCCAGUUUAGUACCAAGUUGCACUCUUCACAUCUCUACAGUACACUGGCCAAAUAGGCUAAGAAACCAUCAAAUAAGUCCACAGCCACUGAUAAGUCAUCCAUGAAUACUUCAAUAGUGUCUUCCAUCAUGUUUUAGAAUUUGGACAUCAUACAUCUCUGAAAGGUGGCCGGUGCAUUACACAAUUCGAAUGGUAUCCACUUGAAUGCAAAGGUUCCAUAGGGGCAAGUAAAUAUAGUCUUUUCUUGGUCUUCAGGGGAAAUCAUGAUUUGAUUGUAGCACGAAUGCCCGUUAAGAAAAUAGUACCAACCCCUGCUUGCUAAUCUAUCCAACAUCUGAUCCAUGAACGACGCCGGAAAGUGGUCCUUUUAUGUCCACUCAUUUAGUUUUCUGGAGUCCAUGCAUACUCUCCACCCAGUAACUUGCCUUAUUGGUUCUAAUUUAUCCUUCUAAUUUGGAACCAUUGUGAUUCUUUCUUUCUUUGGCAUGUGAUGAAUCAGGCUCACCUACUUGUUAUCUGUAAUAGGAAAAACCAUUUUUGCAUCUUGUCCGACUCAAGCUGUAUCUUGUAUGUGCAUAUGCCUGGUGGAAUCCCCAUAAUGUCUGCAAUAGUCCACUCUAUAGCUCUUUUAAACUUUCAUAAUACCGAUAUCAAAGUUUCCACCUGUGCUCCUACCAGAUUUGUUUUGAUAAUUACCGGUAAAGAAUUGUUAGCCCCCAAGAACGCAUACUGCAAAUGAGGUGGAAGGGCUUUCAAUUCCAAUACCAGUUAUUCUUCAAUCUAUGGUCUUGCAGGCGGUGUGGUUCUUUUCUAAAAGUCAAAAUCUAGCUUCUUAGGGGCAUAUUUGUAAAGACACACUCUAUGUAAUGUACUAAUCAUCUCAUCAUAGUCAUUUAUCCGAUCACUCUCGAAGUUCAUAAUCACUAUUGUUAAUGUUUCUACCCUUAAUCCUUCCUCAAUAGGUAUAUCCAUUGCAACCCCAUCAUCAUCUACUGCAUCAAUCACUGCUACCACUCUUAUAUAAUCAGGUUGUUAAACUAUCAUGCAUGUAUUCAACACUUUCUGCUUAUCAUUCCAUUUGAAAGUGAUCUCUUCUAGGUCAAUAUCAAUUAAUACCCAGUCAUUGGAUAGAAAAAGUCUCGCCAAUAUGAUUGGAGAGUGAGCAUCCACUUCACAAUCUAAAAUCAUGAAAUCUUCUGAAUAAUCGAAUGAUGCCACCUUUACUUCUACAUUGCGCACAAUACCCACUGGCUUUUUAACAGAUGAAUCAUCCAUCAACAACCUUGCAGAUAUAAUCUUGAGUUCUCUUAACCCCAUUACCUUGUAUAUCACCAGUGGCAUUAUAUUUAUUCCUGCUCGCGUAUUCAUAGAGCCUGAUAAAUGUCAUAAGGCCAAUAGAACUUGGAAUGGUAACUGCACCUGGGUCUCCCUUCUUUUAUAUUGAUGUGCAUAAAAACUUGUGCUAUUAGAUCUUGAAGCUCUUCUGCCACCUAGUCUUCAUCAUCAUCACUUCCAAAAUCAUUAUCACUACAAGUCAGUUGUUUAAAUUUAGAUUGAGGUGACUUAUCUACAUCAAUAUAUUCCUUUUGUGGCUCAUUAGUAGAAGAAAAAAAUUGUUCGACAGGUGGAGAAUAACUCAUCGUGUUAAUAACCAGGUAAUAAACCAGUGUUAAAGGAUACGACAUAUUGUCUCUAGGAAGUAUUCCUGAUUGUCUCUCAGCUAAAGUAACAGAGAUUUGCUAAUACUGCUGCUUCAGCUGCCUGACAGCAGUUGCAUAUGACUCAACCUUUGGGGACAAUCCUAAAACAUUGUCCUUAAGUUCUUUAAGGCAAGCCUCUUGACUCUCUUGGCCGUUCAUCAGCUUAGCCAAUAUCUCUUUUCUUCUCAAUUUGGUAUCUCGCCUUUCAGGAGAAAUGUGUCUAUCUUUAUCUUAAUAGUUUCGACCUUGAUUCCCUUGCCCUUGGGCUUGAAAACCUGCCAACUGAUGAUCCACAUACUUUGCCUCCUCCACAAACUCAGAUUCAUGCCUCCUAGAAGUUGCACCUUGCACCCUAAUUGUAUUAACCUUUUCAGAAUUUAUUGUUGUAAACUGCUUGGCCAACUCACUAAUGUAUGUCCUUAAUAGUGAAAUCUCAUGAGCUACAGCAUCCUUAACUACUCUCCGCUCGCCUGAAUCUCCAAUGGCAUAAAUGUCAGAACCUCUUUCAACCUUCCGAGUUUGCCACCUUUGGUUAGUUAAUAAGAUCUGAUUUAUAAUACACAAAGACAUCUCCUAUCGUAAUCUUAUUAAGGAUCUUCUGGAGAUAGUGUCUGCCAUUGCUAUGAAACUGAUAGGCAGGGCUCUAUAGAAGAUCUCCAACAGGCUUGUCCCUGAAAUCAUGUGGGUGGGCACCAUACUAAACUUCUUCUUGAGACUGAACAAUGCCUCAUACGUAAAUUCUGAUUGCAGUUGCCUGAAGUUAUAAAUCUCAUCCUUGAGCUGUAAUCCCCUGGAUGGAGGAAAGAAUUUGUUAUAGAACUGUCAACAUAACUCUCUCCAUGUAGUGAUAGACCCUCUUGGAAGUUCCUCUAGCCAUAAUGAUUCUUCUUCCGUAAGCAAAAAAGGAAAUACCUUCAGUCUCAGUGCCUCCUGAUCUACCCUAGGUAUGGUAUAUGAAGUGCAGAUUCCAAUAAAAUUUUCCAGAUAUAUAAUUGCGUCGUCUGCAGCCAACCCUACAAAUAUGCCCUUUAAGUACAGGAGUCGCAGCACUAAAAAUAUUGAACUUGACAUCAGGGGGCAAAAUAGAAGAAACGAUAGAUCCAGUCUCUGUCGGCUCACUAUAUCCCAGAUCUUUUUCAUCGUCUUCAUACGGCUGAACAUACUGAUAUGUAGGGAUAACUUAAGGCCGGUCUCUUCUGUUUCUAUUCUAAUUUUCAUUGAGUAUUGGUCGGUGGUCUGCUUUUUGUCUCUGCUCAGCUAACUCUACCUCCCAAGCUAUGAAUUGAGCUUCUUCAACUACCCUCCUCUCAUUCUCUGCUUGAGCCAAAAAAUGAUCGGUCUGUCAAUCAACUAUAUCUUGUACUCCUUCGGAAGGUGGGGGAAGCAAAUCAUCUCUUUUUGACUCCGACAUCCUACUAGGUGUCUGUAGGAUCCUCUCAAAAUUUAAAUUUCAUGGGAGUAAGGCAUUUCCUCUACUCUGUGAGCUACGCAUACACCGACGUAUGCCUAACUAAGAAUAAAAAAAAUGAAGACUGCAAUGCCUUUAAUUUACAAAUCAACACCAUACUCCUCUGCAACAGCGCUAAAUUUUUUAUGACGUCUAAACAACAGCUCCUAUCAGAUGAUGAUACGGUCGCUGUUAAAAUAUAGUAACCCAACUAGGUUGGGGUCAAAUCCCAAGGGAACACGUGGUUUGUGGAUCUUGACAAUUGUAGUCAACGAGAGGAACAAGAAAAGUAAAUAGAGGAGAAGGGUUGGAUGGUAGAAUUGAACAAAGAGAAUGAAAUUAAAUUAUGUCAAUACUAUUAUGACAUUACAAUAACCAAAACUCAUCCAGAAGCCUCCACUGAAUACUAACUAUCUAGGUCGGGACAAGGCCCCCGGCCAGACCAUAAACUGAAAGACUCAACAUAUAAGUAAAUGACUUCUGAAAGAUGGAUGGAUCACCAAUUCUGUCAGGUCCCAAAUGUUAACCUGAUGUGAUGGACCAUAGGACUAUACCGCCGAACCUGAAAUAUGAGGGGUCACUACUUGAAAAGUAUUAGUAAGUAGAACAAUCUAAAAAUAACAUAUAUUUCAUGUAAAAUAAGUGAGAACAUGAGAUUUAGGAUAGUCCCACAUACCUUGUAAUGAUGAAAAUGUAGAGUAAUUUGACCCUUGGAGCUUAAAAUCCUCAACCCUAGGUAGUUUCUCUUCUCUUGCUUAAGAAAAGAUGAUAUGGGAAUUUUAGAGAGGUAAAAUAAUCGAUGUUAUAUCGUAAAAUAGAUAGAAAUAGGUUAAUAUAGUGUUUAGGGUUCGUUUAUAAGUGAAAGGAUUUAAUACCCCUUAUGCCAAGUCAACAAAUCCAAAAAUUGAUGAAUUUAAAACAUCAGUGGGUCGCAGAGGGUAAUCUCUACAAUAAGCUCCGUGUCUCGCUGCUAUCGCAGACGCUUACUGCCUCCUCACAAAAAUGCUUAUAACUUUUUGCUUGGGUAUCAGAUUAAGGAAAGAUCGAAUGCGUUGGAAAGAGGACACAUUUAUCUAUGAUUUGAUGGGUCUUGAGCCUCAAAAUUACUCAUAUUCUAGAAGUUAUAUUCAUCCAAAGUUGACCCUGCUAGAAUCGAAUUCCAAAAUUUAGUCGAUAAUGAAAGUUCUUAACUCUACUUCACUCUAAGUGUUUACUACAAACAUUAUUCCCCUCAAAGAAAAUUUUCACACUAAGAUAAUGAUCAUGACACUUAUAUUUAAAAAGAAAACAAUUGCAUUCAAGUUUAUACACGUAGAAACAAUGGUUCAAAUUCUAGCCCAAAAAUGUGGGGUGUUACAUUUUGAGUUUCAGGAUGUCGCCUUACUAACCCUUAUUGAUCCUAGUUAACUAUUACCUUUUGAGUCUCUAGUUAUUAGAUGAAAGUUAAUGGUCAUUCACUAUAUUCCAUGAUUAGCAUGGAUCGACAAUUAACUUCAAAUUACUGUUGUCUUUAUUUUUUCCUAGUCACUACUCUUCUUUUGGAGUAAGUAGCAAUAAUAUAGGUGAUAUAUCAACGUUGGCCAUCACUAAGAAAUUUAUUAUAGUGAAGAUAAAGCAAUGCAUGCCAUGGGUAUUGGUUCAGAUCAAUAAUUGUACUUCCCCUACUUCGUCAAUCUGUCAGGGUUUCCACAACCCUAGCUAUGGGUUUUAGCUACUCAUGAUUAUGAAGAAAUCAACAACAUUCAUAGUUGAAAGCAUAUAUGAAAUCACAAUAAAAAGAAGUGUAAAAACCCACAACCGUAACUGAAUUAAUCAACUGAAGUCAAUACAAGAUAAUCCCAAGAUUAAAAUCGGAUCUUGGAAUUAAAAUAUGUUUGUGAAUAUCGAAAGUGUGUAACUCUAACUAAAAAGUACAUAAAGGGUAUUUAUAGUACAUGAGAAAACCCAAAAACCAAAGCCCGAACGAAAUAGAAGAAAACUGGGUCGGUGGCCACCUACGGUCUGACACAGGGUGCAUGUGCAGGCCACAGGUGCAACUCUUGUAGCCUAGCUCUCGAGAUUUCAACCUAUGGCACCUAAUUUGUCCGCCUGCGGUCUGUAGGUCCUACAUGUGGUUCGUAGGUUGCCUUGGUAGGUGUCGGGAGUUAUCUUUUCAGCUCCUUUUCACUUUUCGAACAUAUAUUGAUCACGAAUAAGCUGGAAAACAUCCUGAAUAUCCAUAAUUGCUCCAAAAAGUAGCCGAAAACACCUUUUUUGCCUUUUUUAUGAACUUAAUAUCCAAAACACGAUUUCCUGCAAAACAUAUCCAAAACGAAUCAUAUCUAACAAAAUAGCCUCAGAACCUACAUAUUUUCCUCGUUUUAAGCAACGAAAGUACUAUAAUUUUGUAGCACAUCAUGUAUCAAUGUUUAAUAGGUUAAAGGUACUAUUCAUAGGAUGUAGAGGGGUUGGCCAACUGGGUCAGAUGAGAUUUCGGUGGAUUUCUGGAAGAGACUGGCAGGACAGGUUUAGAGUGGUUGACAAGUUUGUUUAACAACAUUUUUAGGGUGUCACAGAUGCCUGAAGUUUGGAGAUGGAGUAUGAUAAUUCCUUUAUAUGAGAAUAAAAAGGACAUUCAGAGUUGUAACAACUAUAGGAGUAUCAAGUUGGUGAGUCAUACUAUGAAGGUUUGAAAAAGGGUGGUAAAGUUGGGGCUGAGGAUCGUAACUAUUUUUGAGAAUUAGUUCAAUUCCAUACCAAGUCAUUCGACUACUAAGGUCAUUCACCUCGUGAGAAGAUUUGGUGGAGCAGUUUAAAAAGAGAAGGAAGAACUUGCAGAUAGUGUUCAUUAAUCUUCAGAAGACGUAUGACAAAGUCCCGAGAGAGAUUUUGUGGGGGUGCUUGGAGGAUAUAGAGGUGUAUGUGGAGUAUACUAGGUCGAUUUAGUACAUGAUCGAUGAUGCGAAGACUCAUGUGAGGACGGCAGAAGAAAAUUCGGAACACUUUUCUAUUUUGACAGGGUUGCACCAGAGAUUGACUUUUAGCCUAUUUUUAUUUGCCUUGGUGAUGGAUGUUUUGAUGUGGAGCAUUCAUUAGGAGGUGCCUUAGUAUAUAUUUGUUGCUGAUGAUGUUGUACUGAUUGAUGAGACUUAGAGAGAAGUUAAUGAUCAGUUGGAGGUUUGGAGAUAGACCCUUGAGUCCAAAGGAUUUAGGCUGAACAGGAUCAAGAUAGAGUAUUUGGAAUGUAAAUUUAGUGAUUUGUCGCAUAAGGAUGACGUGGUAGUAAAUCUGGAUUCUCAUGUCAUUCAAAAAAGAAAGAGUUUCAUGUAUCUUGGGUUUAUGAUUCAGCGGAAUAGUAAGUUUUAGGAGGAUAUCACGCAUCAUUUUGGUACAGGGUGGUUGAAAUAGAGGCUUACUUCGAGAGUCUUGUGUGAUAAGAAGGUGCCUCCUAAGAUUAAAGGUAAAUUCUACAUAUGGCAGUCUGAUCGGCUAUGUUGUAUGGAGCAAAGUGUUGUCCAGUUAGGAACUUUUAUAUUCAAAAGUUAAAAAUGGCGAAGAUGAGGAUGUUGCGGUGGAUGUGUGAACUUACUAGGAGGGAUAGGGUUAUAAAUGAGAUUGGUCAGGAGAAUGUGGGAGUGUUUGGUGGAGGACAAGAUGCAAGAAUUAAGGUUGUGAUGGUUCAGAAAUAUGAUAAGGAAGGGCACGGAUGCUCCAGUACGAAGGUGUGAGGGACUGAUUAUGUAUGGUUUUAGGCAGGGUAUUGGUAGGUCGAAGAAAUAUUAAAGGGAAAUUACUAGGCAUGACAUGGAGUAGUUACAGCUUACGGAGAAUAUGACCCUUGAUAGGAAUGUGUGUAGGCCACAAAUUAGGGUAGAGAGUUAGUAGGUAGGAGUACGUCGGUUAUAGUAAGGAAAAGUGCUUUGUUUGUAUCUGUGUUUGUAGUUUCUUGUAGUACCUUGUUCGUGGUGUCUGGUGAUGUCUAUGAUUUUUGAAUAGUUAGUUUAUAGUAUUACCUUGUUGGUGUUUAGUUUUCUUUACUAUCUAGCGGUGUGGUAUCCAUUUUAAUUGUUUGCUUUUAUGUUUUUUCUUUGUUAUAAUGUUAUUUGUCCUGAGCUGAGGGUACAUUGAAAACAGCAUCUCUACUUCAUAUGAGAUAGUGGUAUGCACUACGUAAACUUUACCUCCCUCCUCCCUCAAACAUCACUUUGUGGAAAUACACAGGGUAUGUUUUUGUUGUUGUAUGUGCUAUCAUUACUACAACAAAUAUGAUGGAGUGUUAUUUUCUACAAUAACUAACUUAAAAUAAAGGACACCUUUGUUCAUAUUAAUUAAGAGGGGAUAUCUUUUACCUUUAACUUCUCAGUGCAUUCAACUUAAUUAAUUACCAAGCACCAACAUAACAAAUAAAUAAUUUUCUAGAGAAAAUAUAAAAUGAAUGUGUUGCCUCAUACUUUAGCUCUUUGUUUUUGUUUGAUAAGGGCGGCUAAGCAAAUUAGUGGCUCAUCACCAAAUUCAAAUGAAGGGAUUAAGUUUUUAAGGAAAAAAAAGGGAUAAGUACAGAAAUAGCACUUCGAUGCACAAAAUUGCCACUGAAUAGCCAUACAAUUUCAUUUUCCUCCUUUUGGCCUUUUUGGUUGCCUUCGUUGCUUAUCUUAUUUUCUUCUUAUUAUUUUUUAAAUUUUGCUAUCCAUAGUUUUUUAAGAAAAGAAUAUGGAUAAAUUUACCUUUAACUUCAUAAAAUAAUUUCAUGUAAUUGACACAUAUUAUUGGUGGUGUUGGAAAAAUAUCAACCAUGAAAUACUCCAAAAGUAAAUUUGACAACAUCUAGAAAUAUUACUCCCAUGUGUGCUUGCAUGUAUCUCAAACAUCUCCACCUCCUCACACAUGUCGUAUCACACAUCCUUUUCUCCCUUAUUUCUAAUCUAUUUCGCUCUCAGUUUUCCUUCACCCGCAUUUAUACCCUCCAUUAAUUGAUACUCUCCUUCCUUUUCUUUUGCAACAAAAAUGGUUGAUCAACAACAAUCAACCUACUGUCUUCGAUGCAUGUUUGAUAGCAGAUACAUAUAUCUUUGAUAUCUCAAACACACACACACACAUCUCUCUAUAUAUAUAUGUGUGUGUGUGUAUGUGUGUACACACACAUACAUAUUAUAAAAUAAUUAUACAAUUUAUAUACAUAUCUUAUAUAUAUAUAUAUAUAUAUAUAUAUAUAUAUAACAAUGAUAUAUAUACAUAUAUAUAUAUAUACACAACAAUGAUAUCAAUAUUAUUUUUAUAUUAUAUAGAGAAAAUGGCCAAAAGUCCCCCAACCUUUAUCCCAAAUUCCAACUACACACUUAUACUUUGCAGGGAUCCUAUGACCCCCUGAGCUAUUUUAAACUGAAAUAUUUACACCCCUAAAAGCUCAUGCUCAGAUAUUAUUUCAGCCAAUGAGCUGCACGUCAUGUCAUGUCAUUGCCACAUUAUUUUAUAAAUUUUUUAUCAAAAAAGUUAAUUAUUUUACUUUAAUUAUUUUAAUCUCAAUUCAUUUUCCCCUUUCUCUUCAUCUUCUUUUCUUCAAUCUCAAUCCAUUUUUCCCCUUUCUCUUCAUCUUCUUUUCUUCAAUCUCAAAAGCCAAAAUGAACUCGUUAAAUUUUCUUUACUUUCUCUUUCUAUCAUUUUCAUCAAUUUCAGAAAUCAAAGAAUACCCAUUUGUCAAUCUUUUUUCUUUUUCUUUUAUUUUUUUUUAAUCUAUCAACUAUGAAAAUUGAUGUUGAAUUUAUGAUUGUACAAGAUUUUUUGUGCUAAUUUUUCAUAAUUUCCUGCGAAUACCCACCUGAUUUAUUUUGUGAAUACCCACCUGAUUUGGUGCUGAUUUUUUAAUUUCUUGAAAUUUAAGAAAUGUGUGUUGCGUGUGUAAGGGUUGAUGUUUUUCAAUUCAAGUGAAGUAAGUUUGUGUGUGUUUUUUGUCUCUUAUGUGUGUGUAAAUUUGAAUAUGUAUCGGGUCAGCUGUGUGUUUUCUGUCAAUGAAAAAAUGAGGAGUGAUGUGCAAUGUUGAGAUUGCAUGUUUGUGUGUUGUUUGAUCUUUGUUGUCGGUGAAUAAUUACUCAUGCUGGUUUGUUGUCGAUUCUUUGAUUAUGAACUGUGUGUUGUCGAUUCUUUGAUUAUGAACUGUGUGAUGAAGUCGAAAAUAAUAAACAAUAUUGAAUUUAAAAAUGUUCGACAACCUUAAAGAGGGAAACAAUGACCAUAUCAAUUAUUAAAUUUCCGACGAUCUUAAAUCCGGAAACAGCGAAUAAUACCAAUUUUAAGAUUUUCAACGACCUUGAAGCCGGAAACAAUGAACAAUACCGAAUUUAAAAUUUUCGAUCACCUUAAAAUCGGAAAUAAUAUAGAAUUUUAAAAAUUUUGAUGACCUUGAAGUCGAAAAUAAUGGACAAUACUCAUUUUAAAAUUUACGACGACCUUGAAGUCAAAAAUAAUGAACAAUUUCGAUUUUAAAAUUUUCAAUGAUCUUGAAGUCGAAAAUAAUAAACAACAUUGAAUUUAAAAUUUUCGACAAUCUUGAAGUGGAAAUCAAUGAACAAUAUUAAUUUUUAAAUUUUCGACGAUCUUAAAUCCUGAAACAACGAAGAAUAUCAAUUUUAAAAAUUUCGACGACCUUGAAGACGGAAACAAUGAACAAUACCGAAUUGAAAAUUUACAAUAACCUUAAAGUCGGAAACAAUAGAGAAUUUUAAAAUUUUCAGCGACCUUCAAGUCGGAAGCAAUGGACAAUACUUAUUUUAAAAUUUACGACGACUUUGAAGUCGUAAAUAAUGGACAAUAUCGAUUUUAAAAUUUCGACAACCUUGAAGUUGGAAACAAUGAACAAUACCCAUCUUGAAAUUUUCGACGAAUUUAAAGUCGAAAUCAAUCGAUUUUGUGCUUGGAGAUGAGGAAAAUGAUGAAUUAAUUUUUGAUGUCAUUGAUGAGUUCUUGGAUGUCAUUGUUUGUAAGAAGAAGAAGAAGAAGAAGAAGAAGAAGAAGAAGAAGAAGAAAGAAAGAAAAUGAAAAGAAAAAGAAUAAUUGAAAAUGAAUAAAGAAAAUAAAGAAGUAUUAAAAAAAAUCGUUCUCACUCUCUUUAAAGAGAGUGAAACACACUCUCUUUCCAUGUCAGCGUUCAGGGGGGUAAUAUUUUCACUUUAAAAUAAUUCAGGGGGGGUCAUAGGACCCCGCAAAGUAUAAGUGUGUAGUUAGAAUUUCGGCUAAAAGUUGGAGGGAUAAUAGACCAUUUUCUCUAUUAUAUACAAUAAUGAUAUAAUUUUUAUACUAAUCAUAUACAAAUACAUUCUAUAUGAUAAUUGUACAGUUUUUGUAUUGUUUGAUAGCACAUACAUAUAUCUUUGAUAUCACACACACAUCUCUCGUUCUCUCUCUCUCUCUCUCUCUCUCUCUCUAUAUAUAUAUAUAUAUAUAUUAAAACAAUUAUACGAUUUAUAUAAAUAUCUUAUACAUAUAUACACAUAUUCUACACAACAAUAAUAUAAUUUUUACACAAAUCAUAUACAAAUACAUAUUCUAUAUAAUAAUUAUACAAUUCUUAUAUACAUCGUAUACAACUUUUAGCUACAACAAUUAUCCAGCUACAUAUUCUAUAUAGCAAUGAUAUAAUCUAUAUACAUAUACAUAUUAUAUACAACAACUACACGGUUUCUAUACACAUCUUAUCAGUUUCUAUACAUAUCUUUUAAAGAUACGUAUUAUAUACAAUAACUAUAUAGUUCUAUACACGUUCUAUACAGUUUUUUUAAAAUAGCCAAUGGGUGAAAUUAUUUUAGCCGAGCGGCUAUCCCAUGACAUUACUUUGAAAAUGGUCAUUUUGGUGGGGUAAAUCUCAGGAAUAGACUCGAAUUGGGAUGACUUUCAAAUUUUAGCCCCAAAUAAAAAAGUUUCCUUAAAAUAUUCUUUACCUAUUAACUAAUAUUUUUUUGGAUGAAAUUGUCCCUGACCAAUAGAGUAUUACAUAAAUAUCCUCAUAAUGGAUACCAAUUCCAUAUUUAUGUCUUUCAACUUUUUUUUUUUCUCUUUUUAAUUUUUAUUUUUUCUUUUCUCUUUUUAUUUUUGAUUUUUCUCAACCCUUAUUUUUUUCCUCUCAAUUUCUUUUUUCAUAUUUUUUAUUUUACUUUGAUUUUUUAUUUUUUCUUUCCUCUUUUUUUUUUUUGUUCUUUUUAGUUUUUCUCAACCCUUACUUUUUUUCUUUACACCUCUCAACAUCUACUUUUAUAAAAAAAAAUACUUUUUUAUUUUUCUUUGAUUUUUAUUUUUUAUUUUAAAAUUUUUCUCGACCUUUAUUUUUAUUUAAUAUUUUUUUAAUUUUUAUCAACCUUUAUUUUUUUCAUUCUCUCUCAACUUCUACAUUUUCUUUGAUUUUUAUUUUUUUAAUAUUUUUCUUCAUUUUCUUUUUUUCUGCAAUUUUUAUUAUUUUUAUUCUUUUCUUCAAUUAUUUCCAUUCAGUUACAUUUUAUGAGCAAGAGUUGACACUAUCACAUUGUAAAGACAAGAUUUAUGACUUUUAAACAACAAGCUACGUUUCAUAUGCAAGAGUUGACACUACCACAUUGUAGAGGCAAGACUUAUGACUUUCAAGCAACAAGUUAUGUUUCAUGGGCAAGAGUUGACACUACCACAUUAUAUUUUGAUUUAUGAGAUGUUUUAUAACUCUUACCUUAGAGGCAAGACAUAGCUCAGGGACUUUCAAACAACAAAUUAUGCCCCACGGGUAAAAGUUGACUCUACCACGUUAUGUUUUCAUUUAUGAGAUGUUCUACAACUAUUGUCUUAGAGGCAAGACUUAGCUCAAUGACUUUCAAACCACAAAUUAUGCCCCACGAGAAAGAGUUGACUCUACCACGUUAUGUUUUCAUUUAUGAGAUGUUCUACAACUAUUGCCUUAGAGGCAAGACUUAGCUCAAUGACUUUCAAACAAUAAAUUAUGCCCCACGGGCAACAGUUAACUCUACCACAUUAUAUUUUCAUUUAUGAGAUGUGCUACAACUAUUGCCUUAGAGGUAAAACUUAGCUCAUAGACUUUCAAACUAUAAAUUAUGCCCCACAGAAAAGAGUUGACUCUACGACGUUAUGUUUUCAUUUAUGAGAUGUUAUACAACUAUUAGCUUAGAGGCAAGACUUAGCUCAAGGACUUUCAAACAACAAAUUAUGCCCCACGGGCAAGAUUUGACACUACCACGUUAUGUUUUCAUUUAUGUGAUGUUCUACAACUAUUGCCUUAGAGAUAAGAUUUAGCUCAAGGACUUUCAAACUACAAAUUAUUCUCCACGGGCAAGAGUUGACACUAUCACAUUAUGUCUUCAUUUAUGAGAUGUUCUACAGCUCUUGUUUUAUAGGCAAGACUUAGCUCAGGUACUUUCAAAUAAUAAAUUAUGCCCCAUGGGCAAGAGUUGAUACUACCACGUUAUGUCUUCAUUUAUGAGAUAUUCUACAACUCUUGCCUUAGAGGCACGACUUAUCCCAAGAAUUUUCAAACAAGUUAUGUAUAUUGGGCAAGAGUCAACACUAACACAUUGUAAUUUUUACUUAUGAAAUGCUCUAUAACUCUUGUCUUAGAGGUAAGACUCAGUCUAAGGACCAUCAAACAAUAAGUUAUGUCCCACGGGUAAGAGUUGACACCACCACAUUGUAUAUUGAUUUAUGAGAUAUUUUAUAACUCUUCCAUCAGAGGUAAGACUUAGACGAAGGACUUUGAAGUAACAAUUUGUGCCCCAUGGGCAAGAGUUGACAUUACCACAUUGUGUUUUGAUUUAUGAGAUAUUCUAUAACUUCUGCAUUAGAGAGAAGACUUAAUCCAAGGACUUUCAAAUAACAAGUUAUGUCCCAUGGGUAAGAGUUGACACUAUCACAUUAUGUUUUGAUUUAUGAGAUGCUCUAUAACUCUUGCUUUAGAGACAAGACUUAGCCCAAGAACUUUUAAACAACAAGUUACUUUCCACGGAUAAGAUUUGACACUACUAUAUUGUCUUGAUUUAUGAGAAGUUUUAUAAAUCAAGAAUUUUGAAACAACAAGUUAUGCCCCGUGGGUACGAGUUGUUAUUACCGCAUUAUGUUUUGAUUUGUGAAAUGCUCUAUAACUCUUGCAUUAGAAGCUCAAAUCAGUCCAUGAACUCUCAAAUAACAAGUUACGCCGCAUGGGCCAUGGGAUAGAGUUGAUACUACCACAUCAUGUAUUGAUUUAUGAGAUAUUUUAUAACUUUUGCCUUAGAGGUAAAACUUAGCCAAUAAGUUACGCUCCGUGGACAAGAGUUGACACUAUCAUAUUGUGUCUUGAUUUAUGUGAUGUUCUAUUAGUCUUGCCUCUAAGACAAAACUCCAUCCAAGAACCUCCCAAAAGAACAAGUUACGCCCAAUGAACAAGUGUUAACACUACCACAUUGUUUUUUUAUUUAUGAGAUGUUUUAUAACUCUUGUCUUAGAAGCAUGACUUAACUCAAGGAUUUUCAAACAACAAGUUAUGCUCCACAAGCAAGAUUUGACACUACCACAUUUUGCCUUGAUUUAUGAGUUGUUCUACAAUUUUUGUCUCAGAGGCAAAACUUAUCUCAAUGAACUUUCUAACAACAAUUCAUGCCCUUAAAUUUGCUUUGAUGUCAAAAAAAAAAAAGAUCCAUUUACGGAUUAUUCACUUUUUUAUUUAUUAGCAAAAUAUAAUAGAAGUUGAGAAAAAAAAUGACCAAAUAAAAUAGAGAAAUAAAAAAAGAUUGAGAAAAACAAAGGCAAGAAAAAAAUAAAGAUUAAGAAAAAAGUAAAGAAUUAAAAAAAAUUGAGAAAAAUAAAAAUUAGAGGAAAAAAAUAAAAAUAAAGUUUGAGAAAAAUGAGGGAAAAAAAGAGAAAUGAUAAAAAACCAAAAAUAAAAGAAAAAUAAAGGUUGAGACAAAUGAAUUAAAAAAGAAAAGAAAAAAUUAAAGAAAUAGAUAAUGUUUGAGAAAAAAGAAAAAAAAAGUUGAGACAAAUGAAUUAAAACAUGAAAAUAAAAUUAAAUAAAAAAUAAAAAAAGUGAAAACAAUAAAAAUAAAAAUAGAAUUUGAGAGAUAAAUGAGUAUGAAAAGUUUAAAAAUAUUUGAGGUGUAAAGGGCAAAAUUAUACUUGGACUAUACUAAAAAGGGAAGGAAGGCUAAUUUUUAAAGAUUUUUCUUAUUGAAGUCAAAAAUUCAAAGUCACCCACUAUUGGGCUACAGCAUGUAAUUUCCUCAUUUGGUGGAAUUUCUUUGGUCCAAUGGAUAUAUGAUGUCCUUUUUUCCAAAAAAAAAUAAAUUAUAAGAUCUAUUUUUAAAAUUAUAUAAUUAAUUUCUUCUAAUAAUUUUCUUAAUUAAUAAUGCAAUCAAUACAAUCUUUCUUGAGAUAUAGUACUCUACAUAUCAAACUUCUUCUAAUAAUUUUUUUCUUUUAUAUAAAAUAUUUAUUUUUCUAUAAACAAUAGUUAAUAUUCUACGUUGCACGUGUGAUCAUAUCAAACCGUCUAUAAGUAUGAAAUGUAUAAAAGAAAAAUAAAUUAUUUAAAACAUAGCAAUUGAAUUUAUUUUAAUAACAGUUUGAACCCUAAAUUCUAGAAAAAAAUUAGGAACAAAAGAAACUAAAAAUGAUGAUUACACUCGAUUCUUUUUCAGUUUUUUUUUUUUUUCAAAAGAAAUAGUAAGAAUGUGCAAACAGUGCGACAAAUUAAAGAAGAAAAAUGGUUAAAGGUGCCAAAAUUGUUUCAUAACAGAGACUAAGGACAUACAGAAACCUAAACACCUGCUGCGUUUCAGAAGAUUUCAUUGCUCGAGUAUGCAGGUGUGAGAGACUAGUUAUGGAUGGUUUUAGGUGGAAGUGGUAAGCGGAAAAAUAUUUAAGGAAAGUGAUUAGACAUGACAUGGAGCAUUUAUAACUUACGAAGUAUAUGACUCUUGAUAGGAAGGUGUGGAGGACACAAAUUAGCGUAGAAGGUUCACUAUAAAAAAAAAAAAUAGCAUUUAGCGACGAAAUUUACCGACCGAUCAUAUUCCGUCAUUGAAUAGCGACGGAUCAGCAAUGAAAAAAUCAUUUUUGUCGCGAGCAUAGCAAGACCCAUUUUUCAAUUUACAGUUUGUACCAAAUUUUAGCUUUUUUGUCAAGGGUGUUGGUGAUUCUAAUGGAAAGGGGGAGUCUUGUAUGUAAAGAUUUUUGAUCUUCUGAAAGGGUGUAUCAUGAGAUUUUGUGCAUUUCAUCACGUGGAGAAAUAAAGCUGAAUAUUUAUGCUUUAGAAUUCUUUAACCCAUAGUGAUUCUUCUUAUAGUAAUACUAUUAUAUAGUGAGAUUUGUAUCUCUCUAGUACUGGAGAAUACACAGGUACUUUCUGAAGAUAUAUUAAGCUUUGCCUGUUUAAAAUUGUAUACAGGUUAUGUGUUGCGAUGAACGGGGCAUAGCACAAUGAUAUUAUAGGAGUGGGAAAUAGGAUUUGUAUGGACGAUAAAUUUAGGAAUCUGGGAAGUUUCAGACCUUGUCUAAGUUAUAACAACUUGGAGUUUUAGUUUGGUUUAUACAUCAAUAAAAUGUUGGGUAUGAGAUUGUCAUAAUGUAGCUUCUCAAACAAAUAUGGUUUUCAUUCAAAUACCAUGAACCUUAUUUCCUCUUCCAAAUACUCUACUUACAAUAUCUUACAUGAUAUAUUCAACAAAAAAGUAAUGUAAUCUUGGGCAACCAUACCCAUAAUACCUAUUUCAAACAUGCAUAUGGAUCCAACCAGAUGAAUAAAUGGUUGUUGCGUCGUGCCUCAGGGUCUUCAGUCCAGAGGCAAGUACUCCAACACUUGAUCCUUUAACUUCU
rnacentral:lncRNA from 1 species